UUAUGAUUCUUAUUUCACUCUCAAAUAGGAAUGAUCCAAUUUAUUUAUAGUCCAAUCUGACUUUAAAUUUUGGAUUGGUUCAUUUCAGAAUAAAUCAUUCAAAAUUUUCUCUCACAAAUAUCUCUACAUCCUCUUCCCUCGUCACUUUUCUUUUUCUCAAUUAAAAUCUCUUUCUAAAAAUUCUAAACGUCUAUUCCAAUUUUCAUUUUAGUGAUGAACCAAAUAUUCUUAAAUGAUUCCAUUUUUUAUUUCAAUGCAAUCUAAUUCGUUUCCUAUUUCUAUUUCGCUCAUGAACUAAACAUAUCCUUCUUACUUUCAUGCCGAAUUGGAAAGAAAUUGUACAUAGAAAUACUAGGACUAAGGAUUCUAUUAGUAAUAACUGAACUUAAACAGUUGCACUAAUGUUUUAGACUCAAUGAGUUAUCGGUAUUAGCGGAUUGGAUUAUUAAAGCAGAAUUGCCAGUCGAACAUGUAAUUAGGACUGGUGAGAGUUUUGGAAGAAAAAUGUAUUAAGGAAUAAGGAUUCUACAAGCAAUAAUUAGAUACUAGUAUAGUAGCCCGUACGAUGCGACGGAUAGAGAAUUGGAGAAAAAAUAAAAGACGAUGACAAAGGAGAGAAAACAGUAAUAAAAGAAAUGAUGAUAAAAGGUGAGAUUCAUCUUGCCGAUGAAAGAGAUUGAAGAAAGAUGAAGAAGAACAGUUCGGCUCAAUAUAGAGGUGUGGCUCAGUUCGGUUCAAGCCAAAAAAAAAAAGGUUGAUCUGGUUCGAUUCAAGUAAAGAAAGAGAGAAAUCAAGUUCAUUUCACGCAAAGAAAGAGAAAAAUAUGUAGAAAACUUGAGCCGGUUCGAGAGAGCCCAUACUUAACAAUAAUCAAGUCGGUUUAAGCAAAGAAAGAGAAAAAUUCGAUCUGAUUCAAGCAAAAAAAGAAGAAAACAUGUGGAGAAUCUGAGCCCAUUCUAAUUAAAGCCCACACUAUUGCCAUGUGGCAAAUUUAAGAAAAAUAAUGUAUAGGUAUAGGUAUAGGUAUAGAGGUACAGAUAUAAAUCAGUAUUUUGGAUGGGUGAUUCGGUCCAACAAGUUAUUAAAUUCUAGUAGGCUGGAUCAUUAUAAUGCUAAUCCCUUCGGAACGCAUUUUCAAUUCCAAUUCCAAUUGCGAACCAAGCAUUCAGGGGAUCAGGAGAAUCCUUUUAUCUUCACAUAAUAAUAGAGUAUUAAUGGUGGGUGGUUGAGGGAGAGAGGUUGGUGGGUUGGUGUGCUUUAACAAUCAAGGAUAUAUUUUCUACCUGCAGUGAGUUAGAUAUUGACAUUUAAACCUGCGAUCUGCAUUGAGUUUGAAAUUUAGCUUAGGACGUGUUUGGUUCCCGAAAAUUUUAAAAAAUAUUUUUUCUAGAAAAAUUCUUUCUUUUUUAAGACUUCAUAGAAGAGUCUUCUUUUUGUUUUCGGAAUUUUUUUUUUUUACCAAGAAACUGAAUACUAUGGAAAGAUUCUUUUUUUAGAGAUUGAUACUCAAAUCCUUGGGGGAUUAAAUUAGCGAUUUGGAUCUCGUCCAAUUUGGAGCUAAUCUCUAUACAUAUUUUAUUUUCGGUGAUACUAAUGCGUCACAAAACGUAAUUCUUGCAUCUCCACUUAAAGAGUAAGGCAAUCCUACCUCAAGUAAAGAAUCUCCACGUAAUAGAAACCGAAACAAACAUUCGCCAUCCUAGUUCAGUGAUUGUUAUCAAAUUGUUUUUUUUUUUUUUUUUUUUUUGAGAGAUAGAUAGCACGCUACCUGCUUCGUUUAUUUCAUUUAGAAAUAAACUUAGCUGGAAAUGUGAAUCAACUAGGAUUCGAACUUAGAUCUCGGGUACCAACCAUCAAGCUCUUUGCCACUUGCUCUAGGGACGAUCGGUUAUUGUUAUCGAAUUGUUAUUCUAAAGAUCGCAUUCCUACUUGUACUUUUACUUAAAGAGAUUUGUACCUCCAACUUUUUGAGUAUUAGAAUAGUAUAUGUAGAAAGGAUAGGAUAGGAGUCUAGGAGCAAACUUGAAUACUAUAUGAAUGAAGCUGAUAGCUACGUUUUUCUCAAAAAAAAAAAAAAAAAAGAAUCUUUCAAGUGUAGAAAUAGAAAGGUUAAAUCAUAUAUCUUGUUUCUAAAAGUAAUAUUCUACAAUAAUAAUAAAAGCUUUGCUAAGUUUCUCAAUGCUUUUUUUAAAAAAAUAAGCUUUAUUCCGAAAAGUUUAACUAUUCAUUUUAUUAAAUUAUAAGUUUUAAUUCAUGUCUUUUGUAUAUAUUUGGAGGCCAUUUUCACCAAUAAAAUCAACGUCCGGUGAUUGAAUGAGCCAAUUUGACGUAUUUAUAGAAGUUUAGAUAGCAUUAAUUUAUUUUAAAAGUGAACUUUGAUAAAAGUUUACGAACUACCGAUGCGAUUAAUCCUUUCGAAAAUAGAGAGGUAAGUUUUAGGAGACGACAAAAUAAUACUCAGAGCCUAAGAUUCCGAUAGCGAGCUCAGGUUGAUGCUACAAUGCCAUAAUUUAUCUCUUUAAGAAGAUUAGGUUGGAAUUUACUAGAGAGUGAGGGGGAGCGCGAAAGCAAUGUCAUAGUAAAAAUUUUAUAAUUUAGUUUAGCUUGAUAAUGGACAAGGCUCAAGAGAAUAAUAAUAAACAUAAGGGCAUGAUUGGAAGCAUGGUACGAAUAAAAUAAAAUAAUGUACGGUUAAGUUUAAAGUAACCCAAAGUGCUCCGUGAUUCGUUCAUGUAACGCACAUUUCCUAUUUUGAUGGGCCCCACAAAUCUAAUUAUAGAUCAGGAUAAAUGAUACGUUUGGUCAUCAAACUAUGGUGUAUUGGUGUUCACGGUUUAGUUCUCAAAAUUUAAUUUACUUUAAUUUUAAAUUUAAAUUUUUAGAAUUAUUUCAAUUAAAGUUCUCAAAUCUAAUUUAUUAACUAAAUAUUAAUAUACUGCUAAUAUAGAAGUGAUAUAACAGUAUUGCAAUUGAUAAGACCCUAAUAAUUAAGUUAUCGUAUCACGCCAAUAUUUAGUCAAUUAAAAUAGUUUAUAAAAUUUAGUUACAAUAAUUUUCAAAGUUUAUAAAUUAUAACAAACUGAAGUUUAAGAAUUAAAGUGUCAUCGACUCAUAGUUCGAGAACUAAGCGAGCAAUUUACUCUAGAUAUAAGAGGUACUUUCAUCAUUUUGUGAUUAUUCUUGGUUUUUAUAGUAGCAUUAAUAAAUAUUUUUUAAUUUUAAAGGAGUAUUAAUAGAAUGGUUAAAUUAUAGAAACUUUCUAUUAAUAUCCUUUUUUUUUUACUUCUUUUUCUGUCAUUCAAAAAUUUAUAUUUUAUUCCCUAAAAAAAUAAAAAAUAUUUACAGAGAGGUACGCCGUAACAAAAUGACUAAAUUACCCCUCAUGUUCUUUGGAAUGGGCGAAGGAGGAGGGUUUUAGAGGUAUUUUGGAUAUAAAAAAUAGUAUAUAAACGAAAUCCUAACGAAACACUGACGACAGAGUCAAAGUUAAUACUUUUUUAUUUUUUAAAAGAACAAGAUGUAUGUUUUUGAAUGAUACGUGAAAAAGUUAAAAGUGGGUAUUGAUAGAAAGAAUUAUUUGAAACGAUGAAAUUAUCUUUACAGUAAGAAAUAUAUUUUUAGUUUAAACAUAAUUAAAAAAUAUACUUAUAUAAUUUUCUCAAAUUAUUUUUUUAAUUAUUAUAUGUAAGAUAAAAUUGCGACAAAUUUGAAUGGAGUUAUUUGUACCUACUGAGCAUCAAAUUUAGAUCGCCAUACCGUGAGCUACAAUUAUUUGCUUUGACCCCACCACCGUCACCACGUGGCAGCAGACGAUUCGUACCGUAAUUACCAAGCAAAGAAAAAGCCCCAUUGGCUUUUACCCCGACACGUCACUUCAGUUGCGGGCCCCACGCGAUGUUACCGUUUACCUUGCGGGUACCGCUCCGUUACUCGCCACGUCAUUUGCGCGCGAGCGUCCGCGCCGACCGACCCAAGCCACCUCGUCGUCGUCGUAUUACCGUAAACGCUUUUUGACUCAAUAAUGUGCGCAACCACCCGAGUCCGACGAUUCCAUCCUCGGCCUAAACACCAAACACCGGAUCUUUCUCCACAGUCACGCCACGUGUCCCCCCCGUUUCCACCGAGGUCCACUCCGAUGAUUGCUGUGCGAUGCAACUGUACAGUUGAUGCGAACGGAUGUUGCCUGGACCCGGUGUAUCGGCACUUUCCAUGCACCACACCUCUAAUUAUUUUUGUAGUAGAAAUUUUUUUAAAAAUUAAUUUACUGAGACCUUUCAAUUAAGAGUUCUAUAUAUAUAUAUAUAUAUAUAUAUAUAUAUGAAAUCGUACACUUUGGAUUGCCUAUAAUAGAUCGUUGAUGUGUUAGUAUAAUUAUAAAAUAUUUUAUUUUAUUUGAUGAGUAGUUUUUUAAAAAUUUAUUGGUGUUUAGAUAUAAUUAUGAUCAAUUUAAUGAAAUAUACUUAUCAAAUUAAAGUUAAAUUUUUAAAUAUUGAUUAAUUAAUUAAUUAAUCAACAAAUAGCAAAUACAAACACGUGGUAGAUGUGGUACACGUAGUCCAGGGGCAGGCCACAAUUUUCUCGCUCCCCUUGUGUCGGUUGCUAUUUUAAUAACUGUGGUGAGGGCAUUUUCGUAAUUUCGCGACCUAUGAACAGCACAAAAAUGUAGAGAGAGAGAGAGAGAAAGAUCUGUCCCGCCUCACAUUCCCCGGAGCUCGCUCUCUCUCUCUCUCUCUCUCUCUCUCUCCCCCCUCCGUCUCUCGCAGAUCCGGAGGAGGAGGACGAGGCAAAACCCUAUUCCCUCCGAUCUUCGAUCCCAAUCACCUCAAACCCUACAAACCCUAGGCUUCGAUCUCGAACGGAUUCGGUAUCGACAUCCCCGGGCAUCGCCAUUGACGUCACCCCCGAGCUCCGCUCCCUCCGACCCUCUCCUUCCCCCCAAUGCCGUCGUAAUCUCCGCCCCCGGACCCCCUAGGUAUCUUCUAUCUCCUCGUAUACGGUCGAUUUGAGGUGCCCGCUGAGAUUUUCGUGGGGUUUUGGGGGGGAUCUGUGCUGUAGAACUCGCGUUCUAGGGUUUUCUAUUGGUAAUGCGGCGGGUGUAGCUCGUGGAUCUGAGAAUGGGAGUUGCGAAGUACACCAAGGGGUGUUGCGGGUGGUUGAUAGUGCUUAUUGUCGCCGCGCUUGUGGUCACUGCAGCGGUCGUAGCCAUUAAGAAGAGGAAGCCCCACCAUGCCGAGGUCCUUCCGGUCCCCGGCCCACCGGGGGCCAUUAAUCAGAAGUACGCCGAUGCCCUCGGCAUAGCUCUGCAGUUCUUUCAAGUGCAAAAAUGUACCUUCCCUGCUUAUCACUGUUCCAUUUCCUCUCUAAUUGCAAUGAUUAAUUCCAAAAGAUGGGUCUUUUUAGCUCUUUCAGUAUGUUCCUCAUUUUUUCUUUUUUUAAUCUGUUAAUGGCACUCGCAUAAAUGUCCCUGCAAAAUUUGAAAAUUAGAUAUUUGUGUCUCUUUAAAAUUGAUAUUUGGUGUCAUUUUACUGUUUAAUUUUUUUUGUAUUUAGUAGGAAAGCAGAUAUUAUGUUAUAGGAAUUGGAUGGGACGGCAUGGGUGUCGGAACAGCGGAAAAAGUUUAAAUGAAAAACUAUCAAAUUAACAUUCAACGAAUGGUAGUUAAUUGGGAGCUCUAGAUGAAUUACUUAUUGAGUUUUAGCCUAAGAAAUUAAAUAUUACCAGAUCCACUUUCGAAGUUUAAUAUGCAAGUGACUCUUGUUAAGGGGUUUACUAGUUCCCAUUAUUAUUUAUUUAUUUAUUUUCAUUCUAUGCAGCGGGGAAGUUGGUUAAUAACAAGAUUUCGUGGAGAGGGGAUUCUGCCCUGGAUGACGGGAGGGAAGCAGGAUUGGACCUGUCAAAGGGGAUGUAUGAUGCAGGGGAUCACAUGAAAUUUGGUUUUCCUAUGGCUUACACUGCAACAGUGUUAUCAUGGUCUAUUCUUGAAUACGGGGAUCAGAUGAGUGCCGUGAAGCAGCUAAAUCCUGCUCUGGACGCUCUUAAGUGGAUCACGGAUUAUCUGAUCAAUGCCCAUCCUUCUGAUAAUGUUCUGUAUAUUCAGGUAGUUUUUGUGGGAAUUUUUCUUUUUUUCUUUUUUUAAGGUUCAUAAGACAAAGGUGGGCUCUAUGUUAAAAUUAAGAUCUUUCAAGUUUUCUUCUUUAGUUGAGCCAGAUUCCACUAUUUGUUUUUUUCAUUGAACCCUAUUUGCCAUAAUUAUGUGCUUUUCUUCAUCCUUUGUCAGGUUAUGCGAUGUGUUUUUCUAAUUAGUUUGACAUUAUACUGCAUUGUCAUCACUCUAGUACCAGAUUUAUCCAUCUUCUUGUGGCAUAGGAAAUAACGCUUUUAGAGUUUAUCCAGAGACCAGAUUUAGAGGGCAUUUAUUCCUCUUUAGGUAGAUCAACCUAACUGGAAGUAAAUGUUCACUACAUACUAUUUAUGAAAAAUCUACUAUCUUAAUGACUCUUGUUAUUAUUUGUCCUUGCCAUUUGUUCCUUAAUGAUAAGAAUGUAAUGGAAGUUCAUUUUUAAAUUGCUAUUUGUCCCUUCUCUUUUGAAGUUAAUUAUACAUUGUCUUGUUUUUAUCUAUAUCAUGACAAAUGAACAAGCAGCUAGCAGUCCCUCUGAGAUGUAGGCAAGUAAAUAGAUUCUCUGUUGCUUGCCUUCAUAUCUAAUUGUAGAUUCGCUGUUACAUUUAUUUCUUUAUAUCUAAAAUGUAUGAUUGGAAGCAUGUGGAUCUUAUAAAACACUACAGUUUCAAGGAAAAAAGUCUGUAGUAACCAUUACCCCGUUUAUAUAUAUAUAUAUAUAUAUAUAUAUAUAUAUAUAUAUAUAUAUAUAUACAGAUCAGAGCUGUUAUGCUCUCAGGAGCACGGAGGCCUUCGUGCUCUUGAGCCGUUUUCGAUGAUAAAAUUUUCGAAUCAACGAUCGGCUCCGUUAGACUUGAUCUAGCGUAUUUGAAGUUUCUAGAAAAUAAUUUUUGCAAUUUUUUGAUAUCAUUUACCUAGUGAUCGAAAGAUUCAAAAUCAAUAAUUUUUAAUGGUUGAUAUCUGCCGUUUUCAAGUUUAACGGUAUAGAAGUAUUCAAAUCAGAUGAAAUUUUGAUACAAAAUUCUUUAUACUAUCUACAACAAGAUCAAUAUUUCUGAUCGAAAAUUUUAGUGCUAUGUGACCACUUUUUAUAGGAUUUUUAUUUUCAGCCGUUAAAAAUUAUUGAUUUUGAAUCCUUUCGAUUGCUAGGUAAAUGAUAUUGAAAAAUCGCAAAAAUUAUUUUCUAGAAACUUCAAAUACGCUAGAUCAAGUCUAACGGAGCGGAUCGUCGAUUCGAAAAUUCCAUCAUCGAAAACGGCUCAGCUCCUGAGAGCAUGGCAGUCCUGCUAUAUAUAUAUAUAUAUAUUAAUAACCUCUCUGAAAAGUUAUGAUCUGAUUGGUAGGUGGGUGAUCCUGAGAUAGACCAUAAAUGUUGGGAAAGGCCGGAAACAAUGGCAGAGAAAAGGCCGCUAACAAAGAUCGACCAGAAAACUCACGGGACAGAGGUGGCUGCGGAGACAGCAGCGGCUCUGGCCGCAGCUUCCUUGGUUUUCAAAUCCAUUAAUACCACCUAUUCCGAUUUGCUUCUUCACCAUGCCCAGCAGUUAUUCACUUUUGCUGACACUUACAGAGGUUCCUAUAGUGUUAGUUAUCCUCAGCUUCAGAACUACUACAAUUCCACAGGUUAUGUAGAUGAGCUCUUGUGGGCAGCUAGCUGGCUCUAUCAUGCUACUGGUGAUCAAACAUAUCUCAGCUAUGUAACUGUGGAAAAUGGAAAAGCUUUUGCCGACUGGGGAAGACCGACUUGGUUUAGUUGGGAUGACAAACGUGCAGGAACCCAGGUACAUAUCUAGAUCAUGAAGUGAAAAGUUUGCCCUCUCAGUUAGCUUCUCUUCUUCAUAAAAUGAUAUGCCAUGUUAUUAUGAUUGUGUACACUAAAGUAUGAAUUUUUGGUUCAUAUCAAAACAAUAAUGUGAUUUCAACACGUCAACUCAAGGUACCCAUAUCCUUAAAUCAUUGUAGCUAACAAGAGCAAGUCUGCGGAAAAGCUGGGAACUUAAAUGACCUGCCUUCUAAGGAAUUACUUUGAAUAAAUGUUACGGUGAAAGUAAAUUAGUUAUGCCUCACUGGAGCCGAUUCAAACUUUUUUGCAGGUUCUUUUGUCCAGGAUAAACAUUUUUGGUUCUAAACAAUCCUCGAAUGCAGAGAAUGUGGGCCUCCAAAUGUAUAGAAAAACAGCUGAAGCCGUCAUGUGUGGUCUUUUGCCAGAUUCCCCAACAGCAACCUCUAGUAGAACAGAAAGUACACCUAAAUACCUUUCUCAGUUGAUUUAGUAUUAUGAUUUUCUCAGUUGAUUUAGUAUUAUCAUUAUUAUUAAGAGUAUCUUGCCUGUUUGUUCAUAGGUUCGCUAGUUUUCUUGACAGUGCUCCAUGAAAUCAGCGAUUUCUUGUUCUAAUUCGAAGUGCAUUCUCAUACAUUCUUAAUGACUUGGUUAUCAUGUUCUAUCUCAUAUGCACCAUUGAUAGUCUAGUUUUGUUUUUCAGUGUCAUGUAGCUGAAUGUUUUGACUUCGUUGGUUGGACAGUUUGUUCCCUGCACUGGGGUGUGAAUAUGACCAGAUUUUUUAGCGUAACUUCCUCGAAUCUAGCCACAAGAAAUUAAGCCAUUUAUUUUGGCACUUCUAUAGUUAAUUUUUAUGGAGAAAUUGUAAAAGAACAUCCCAUUUAGAAUCAAAGCAGUAUGGAUAAACUGGACAAACUUGGCAUGUUGUGUCAUCUUUUAAAUAUUCAUUUCGUCAAAAGGAGAUUUUGUAGAAUGUCUGACUGCUUCAUGGUUGGAAAAUCAUGACAUUAAGAUGCAACAUAUGGACACUGUGUGAUCCAGAGGUAAUUGAUCCAUUUUUUUUCUUCCAUGCGUCUUCCUUCAUUAAGAUUCAGAGAACAUAACCAAGAUUUAUGGAAGACUCAUGCAAUCCCAGCCUUAUUGCUCUUGUUUACCAUUAGCUUUUACUGCUUUUGAUCAACCAGUUUUUAACUCCAGUUCAUCCUUGAUUUUGUUUGUUCCAUGCCAUAGAAUAUAUCUGAAUAAUUUUAGUUGAAUAAUAUUGAUCAGUGGUAUUAUUUUUCUAAUGCUUUUUAAUUUCACUCUUCCUAUCUAGAUUUAGGCAUACAUGCGACUAUAUUCUGAAUUACAGAGGACUAUUUUGAACUGUAAAUUGUAAAGUUAUUAUGAGCUUUCGGUAUUUAAUGGGUUUUGCCUUAUUUUUAUCGUCUUAACCCAGGUGGGUUGUUAUGGAUAGACGAGUGGAAUGCUCUUCAGCACCCUGUUGCUGCUUCUUUCCUCGCUGUUGUUUACAGCGACUAUAUGCUCACAUCGCAGACUCCAGAAGUGCACUGCAAUGGGGACUCCUACACACCCAUUGAUCUGCGGAAAUUCGCAAUGUCACAGGUAACAUCCUUGGAGGGCUUCAACUCCUGUUUGUACUACUUUUACUAACUUUGCUUGCUAUGGCCAUGUCCUGAAAUGAUUCUGAGAAAAAGCUUUCCUUAGGCCUGCUUGGCUAGGCUGGAGAUUUUGCAUUAGUGCUGAGUGAGUGUGUUGGGAAAAGUGGUAUGUCUUUCCUUACAAAACACCCACAAUAACCUUGUGCAACAGCCAAGGACGUCAUCUAGCUUAGUGCUUCGCCCUGAAGCUUUAAGCAUCUUGCCUGAUAAACAUCUCGCUUUUGCAUAUCGAGUAGAGAAGCUAUUGCUAAGGUCAGAUCAAAUAGGCACUUGAGGCCUAUAUGGUUUCAUCAAAACCUCCUGUAUUUCUUCUUCCUAGAAUUGAAGCAUAAGCUUCUAAUCGAAGCUCCUACUUGUGGGGUCCAAAAUCCCAUUUCAGCUUCUCAUAACAGCAAAAGCUCCAGAUUAUUAGCCAAGCACGUGAUUUUUAGAAGCUUCUGCUUUCUCGGUGGACAAGCUGUUCCGGAAGCCAAGAACAGUAUCUCAGCUCAUCAUUUUAAGGAUGGAAAAAAAAAGAGAAUAAGAUAAAGUAAUUGACCAAAAAAAAAAAAAACAAAUAAGCUGAGUGCUCUUUCCUCUUUUUUCUUUCCCUCCAAUUUUUUCAAAAAAACCAGGCCGACUACAUCUUGGGCGACAACCCGAUGAAGCUCAGCUACCUCGUAGGCUAUGGUAGUAGCUACCCGCAGCAGGUGCACCACAGAGGAGCCUCAAUCCCCACAGAAGCAAACACAGGCUGCAAGGGCUUCCAGUGGCUUACAUCAACUGAACCGAACCCAAAUGUAGCCACUGGAGCGCUCGUCGGAGGUCCAUUCAAGAACGACUCCUACAUCGACCUGAGGAACAACUCGAUGCAGGCCGAGCCGAGCACAUACAACAGCGCGGUUCUCGUCGGCUUGCUCUCCGGCCUCGUCACCACUUCCUCUGUCGCACAGUCUUUCACGUAAAUACUCUCUUCGUGCUCUUUGAUGGUUUCUGUUGGCAUAUGAAUGAUGUACAUGAGCAAGCAUCGUUGUUUGCGGUCGAGUGAAAGUAUGCUGUAUUGUGGCUAUGCCGGGGGUCUAUGAGAAGCCAUUUUUUGUUGUUGUACUUGUUUACUAUAUCAUGGGAAGCUUUCUUGUACUUGAGUGUGUGCAAUAUCCAUCGAAAGCAAUUAGAGGUGUAUGUGUAAUUGAGAGAGAGACCUACUAUGUUUUUUAGUACAUAUGAUUUAUGGAAUGUGAGAUGCAAAUAUGCAGUAAUGAGUAAUGAAUGAUACUCGACUACAUUCUCAUAGUUGAACAAAUUUGAGUUAAACAAACAUUUACAUUGUGAUUAUAAUGUCGCCGGACAAACAAUGCAAAGUAUGCAUUGUUAUUGUCAUUGAAAGGCAAACAGUUUAUAGUUUUAGGCUAAUCUCACGUAGUUGUCAUUUAACACUCUACUCUGCAUUCGAUCUAUUUGAAAGGAGCAUUAUGGAUGGAUACAUUUUAUAAUUCAAGAACAUUAUUAAUCAUCUAUUCAAUUUAUCCACUGCCUGAGCACAUUCAUGAGGGGCAAUUAACCAACCUGUCUCAGUGGUUGCAUCUUUAUUCUUAUUUUCCUUCUUUGUUCCAGCAUCUUAGGAAACAUUUUUUUUGGGUGCUCCCAUGAAUUAAAGCAACCUUUUUGAUCAAGCAAGCAAUGCCUGGCAGCAGAGCAUGUGGCUAUGAACCUGUCAAGAAAUUCCUUCAAGCAGAGAAAGAAAAAGGAGUUGAUUGCUUUUUGUAAGUUUACCAUCCAUCCCCAAAGUAAGGAUUUCACCCAUGAUUACAAACUUUCUUUCUCUUCAGGUAAAGCAUCCUCUAAAGAACAUCAUGAGACUCAAUACCAACAGCUAUGAAACUUUUUCUGUUCAUCUUCAUCACAAACAAUAAUAAUUCCUGACAUUUUUUGGUGCAUUAAUUCCCAAGGAAUGCAGGGAAGAAGACAUUCAUGACACAUCACACAGCCAAUAAUGCAGUGGACCCUUUGUCUUCAAUAAAUAUCAUUUUUAUCUCAAUGCUGCACAGAUCCAACAGCUUCUUAUGGCGGAAUGAGAGAGCGCGGAAUGAGAGAGCUAUGCUCGAGGAGACGAAGGGUUCAGUGACUCAGAGAUAUUUAGAGCCGUGAUAGUAAGAGGUGGGACUUGAUGGUAUACGUUGUGAUUCUCCAAAUCGAAAUCCACUAAGUUCGUAAUUGUCGGGUAGGUAGGAUUCAAUAAUCCCACUCUACUGAAAUUAUUAUCUGGCUCACUUGUGCGCAAAAGCACCAUAUUAGACAUUAUUUUCAAUUUGACAUUCCGACAAGCUGUAGCUCAUCCAUCCAAAAAGCCACAUGACAAGCCAUCCAAUUGAAACACUUCGAAUUUUUCAAAAUAUUAUUUUUAUAAAUUAUGAUCAUGUUGGCAAAUACGUAUUAUAUUUUGAACUGCAUGCAUGAAUAAAUCAAAAUGUAUGAUAUCAUUAAGUGCUGACACAUUAAAUAAUAUAUAAAAACAACAUAAUAAGGAAUCUGCAAUAGUACUCUGAAUUCAUAGAUGUAGUUUUUUUUUUUCCAUACAAUCCUGUGAUGUGUUGAAUCUAAAGUCACCCACUUUAGAGACAAUGUGCCAAAGAUACAGCAGAGAAUUUGGUCCUCUAAUAGUUUUAUGGUACCACCACCACCACCACUGCACCUUUUACAACCCCAUGACCCUAUGCAUUUUUUGUAAUCAAUGUGUGGAGCCCCUCUCCACAUGGCUAUCUUGUGGCUGUAUUAAUUUUGAAGGACCCUUCUCUUUUACCAAAUAUGUGGAAAUAGAAAACUUUAACUAUUUUCACAUAUGUGGAAGCACCAUUAUUACCUUUCACCUUAAACAGUAACAUGUCUCUUACCAGUUUCUACCAUAGAAUUUCCAAAAGAGAGUUUAACUUUUUGAACAUCCAUGCAUAAGAUCCCUCUCUUUUACUUCUCAUUUAUAUCUUUUCUAUUUUGGGUAACUUUUUUUUUUUUUUGCCAACAAACAAGUUAUGAUAAUAGAAGAGGGACGAGAAGGGGUAAUAGACUGCUUAGAACCGACUCUGAUAUCAUACUAUCCAAAAGAUCAAUAUGACAAUCGAUAUUAGAUAAAUAACUCGGCAAACCUCCUAUUUUACAAUCAUUGUGAGAUACAUAGUGUUUCAAAUAUCUCACGCGCAAUGUAUCCCUAAAGAUAACGAUUCUAUAAUUAGCCAAAAAGCAUCUAGUACUCGAUAGAUGAUGAGUGUGAUUAAAUAUUUAGAAUGAAUUUUAUUUUCGAUCUUUAAAUUAUUUUCUCAACAUAAAAUAAGUCACUUUGCAGAUGAGAUAUAUUAUCUUAACUUCGAAGUACACAAAAAAAUAUUUUGUUCAGAAUAAGUUAUUAUUGGAUUUCUAAUUUCAAAACACAUAAAAUGAAUGUCUAGACUUUUCAAAAACAUCGUACAGAAGAAGUUAUUAUAUGCUAUCCUAUCAAAUCAUAGAUGCCAACAUUUUUCGAGGAGCAAAAAGCGAACUCCUAACUUUGAAUUAUAUAAAAAAUAUUUAUACAAAAUGACUUACAAUCUAAAUUCUAAAAAAGAAUAGGGCAAAAAAAUUUUUAGAAUAAAAGAAACAAAUCCUUUAUCUUAAUUAUUCGCACAUUGAUCUUUUUUUUUAUUUCACAUUCUAUCUCUCCGUUUUGUUACCAUCACUUAUUUUCCUCUUCAUUCUCCCCUCAAAAAAACAAAAAAAAAACCAAAAAAUUUUAGUUGGCAAUUCAGAUAAUAAUUACUACACUAGUUUAAUAUUUGUUAGUUUUCGCGUAUUUCUUGUUCAUUAACAAAUGAAAUUAUUUAACCCUAUUUAUGAAAAAUUUUAAGUCAAAACAAAACAUUUCCCCCAUUUUGAUCCAUGUUUCCACUUCCACUCCAACUAUACAUUCACUCUUUUAAAAAAAAAAAAAAAAAACCUGCAAAACCAGCGGUUGAGAUUAUACAAAUAUGGACACGUGUCAUGCAUCAAGAUCCCCAUCCAAUGGUUAUUAAUUAAUUGAUUAAAAUGCGUGAAGACCCCUGACCUAUACUCCUAUCUACAAAUGCCUCCAACGCUUAAAAUUUUUAAGAUAAAAACUUACAAAACUUAUCUAAACUAUGAAUCAUUUUGAAUUAGCUAUCCAAACUUUCAAAAUUUUGAUUUUACUAUCUUCAAUUUAUUUGAUUUGAAUCGGUCAGUGAUACUUUGACUUCAAAAUUUAAACUAAUUUCUUAUUUUGAUGAGUUUAUAGUUGCGAAUACUAUAUGAAAUAUGAUAACUAAAUCUAUAAAGAUAAGUGACGCAUUCAAAUUUUGAAGUCAAAGUGCCAGUUACUAACUCAAAUCAAGCAAAUUGAAAAUAUUGGAGAGUAAAAUCAGAAUUUUGAAAGAUUUGAUAGGUAAUUCGAAAUAGUCCAUAGUUUGAGUAAAUUCUAUAUAUUUUUACCAUUUUUUAAAUUGACACACUCUUAACUUUUGUUUUUUACAAUUAAGUAAUUUUUGUUAACUAAAUUAGAGAUUUUAUCAAAUUUAAUAAUUUUGAUAACUUUUUUUAGCAAAAUAAAAUAAAAUAAAAGCAAAUAACAAUUAAUAAAUAAAAGAACCAUAAAUUUAAUAAAAUUAUCUGACUUAACUAACCGGGAAGAAAAAAAAUCUAAUAAAAGGAAUUUAAAGUUGGGGGAUGUCACUAAAAAAAAAAAAGUUGAGGGGGCUAUUUCAAGUAGUUUUAUAGUUGAGAGGGUCUCCAUACAUUUUUACCUAUUAAAUAAAUAAAUAAUUAAUUAAUUAACUUUCCCCGCAUAGGAAUUUUUGUGCGGAUAACGCUUGCAACAAAUUACCGUUUCGCAUAUCGAAUCUUGGAUUAUCCGUCUAACGGGCGCAUCCAAAGAAAAUUAUUUUAAUUUUUAUGGGGCAAAAAUGUGGAAAGAGCUCCCUGACAUUUAGCAUAUUUGCAACUCACUACUAAAUUUUUAAUUUUGAUAAUUACACUCUUUUUAAUCGAAGUUAGUAAAUACUCAGUAUUUUGGUCACAUGUAUUUCAUAUAUAAUCUUGUAAAACUUAAAAUUGCAAAAUAUUUUUUUUUUGUUUUGAUAUACAAAACAGUAAUAAAAAUUAGAAAUAAUUCACUCUAUUAUUUAAUCAUGAUGUUUGAUUAUUGUAAUUAGAAGACACAAUAAUUUUUGUUGUGUCCUAAAGUUACGUAAAAUUAUGUGUAAAAUAUUUAUGCAGUAACUUUGUUGAAGAAGAGGAGCAUAUUAAAUUACACACUAAGUUACAAAAUAUCCUCUUAUAAAUAUCUAUUUUUUUACCUCUUUCUUCUAAACUUUUAAAAAUCUAUAUUUUACCCUCUUAAUAUUUUAAAUUAUUGCAUUUAGCCCCCUCCAUCAGGGUUCAAGCACUAUUCCAUCAAUUUUUUAUAAUUUAUACUGAAAAUAUCUUUUAAAAUAAUCAAAAUUAUAAUAAAAAUUAUUCUUUUUUAAUAGAAAAAGUAAGAAUAAUUUGAUUAUUUUGUCCUCUCUAUUAAUCCUGUAACGCUCUGAAAUUAUUUCUAAAUUUUAAGAGGGCAAAAUAUAGAUUCUUGAUAGUUAGAGAGCGAAGGUGAAAAAGCGAGUAUUCAUAGAAAUUUUUUUAUAAUUUAGUCUAAGACUAUAUGGUGAAAUAUAAAGAUCUAAUUAUCAAAAUUAGAAGCUUAGGCACCUAUUUGAAAAAGUGAUAAAGAUCAGGGGGUUCUUUGUAUAUUUUUCCCAAUUUUUACCCAACUCGAUCCCUAAUGUCCCCAAAUCCCAAAUCCGUCCAUUUUAGAGAGAGAGAGAGAGAGAGAGAGAGAGAGUGCGAAUUCAAAACGACCCCUCCCCCCCUCUCUCCUCUUCGUCGUCUUCGUUCUCUCUCUCCUCUCUCUCUCUCUCUCUCUCUCUUCGUUCCCACACGGAGGUGGCGGCGCUUCGUAGGGUUUCGCUCCCCCCACGCCGAAGCGACACCGCGACCCUUCUCUCUCUACAUAUAGACGCAUCCGUACGCGAUCGGUCUCUCCCUCUUUGAUCGCUUCCUCGUUCAAGAAUCGAAGGUAUCGCGAUCGUUUCCGCAAACCCUACCUUUUCUUUACAAUUCACGUCACCAUUCGAGAAUCGGAUCAUCCGUUUCUUGUAAUUGUGCUAAGCAAUUGUCGAGUUUAUUAGAUUUUUAGGUAUCUGAAAUAGUACUUUGAGUUCUUGGAAUAGGAUUUUAAUUGCAUACUUGUGAAAUUCUUACUGUUCUAAUCCUGUAUGUUGGAUUCCAAUAAUGGACAUUUGCUUUGCUGCAGAGGGACCAGGGACAAAGUUGAUUUUUUUUCUUCUGUGCAGUGAGCUUCUAAAAGAUGAUAGGUUCAUUUCUUACUAGAGCUCUAAUGUAAGCAAAUAUUCCAUGUAUCGAGAUUUUGUGGAUAGAAAGGGUGUGGUUGAAGACAAUGAACUGAUAUUUUACUCUCCUUUUGUAUACAGCCUUGCUCUUGGAUAUGCUUAUCCAGCAUAUGAUUGCUAUAAGACAGUGGAACUGAACAAGCCAGAAAUUGAGAAGUUGCGCUUUUGGUGCCAAUAUUGGUUAGUUGCAUCACUUAUUUGUGGGAAAAAUGUUUUCGACUCUUUUGGUGCGAUAUAUAUUUCUAAAACAAAGAAUACCAUAAUGGCAUUUUGCAGGAUCUUAGUUGCACUUCUGACAGUUUGUGAGAGGGUUGCAGAUAAUUUUAUAUCAUGGUAAUGAAUUUUUCUUUAUGUAGCCAAAAUAUUUGUCCUUGGAAUUAUGAAUUAUUUUAUGCUAUUCCAUUUUUAUUUUGAUUUGAUCUAAUGGCUGCCCUUUCCAUCUUAAAGGUUGCCAAUGUAUAGUGAAGCAAAGUUGGCUUUCAUUGUGUACCUCUGGUAUCCUAAAACAAAGGUAAGAUAUUCAUUAUUGGGAAGUGGGAAUAUAAGUUAUUCUUUGUGUUUAGAAGCCUACUUAUGUUGGAUGAUUGCAGGGGACAACAUAUGUCUAUGACACGUUCUUCCGGCCAUAUGUCGCGAAGCAUGAAACGGAGAUAGAUCGUAAUUUGCUUGAAUUGAGAACAAGGGCUAGUGAUAUUACUGUGCUAUAUUUUCAGAGAGUUGCGAGUUAUGGCCAGACAAGGUUUUUUGAAAUUUUGCAGUAUGUUGCUUCACAAUCUCAGGCGCCAAGAACUCGAAUGGUUCAGGUAUUCUUUAGUCCAUGAUAAAUUGGAAUAUGUUGUAUCUUAGCCUUGUGAGUGUUUUUUCCCCUCAUUUUAAUUACAUUUAUUAUCUAUAUUUACCUAUAUUACAUCUAUGUGAAAGUGCGUGACCUUUUAGUUGCAUUAACGAAAUGAGUAUACCCUACUUUUCAUAGAACGAAUGUUCUUGCGAUGGUUUUUGUUAAGUCCUUCUAAUUGUGGCAUGGCUGGUUGCAUCCUACUUUUUUCACAAAGCAUUCUUAUCUUGUUUACUGAUUUACUUUAUGUUUAUUUGCUAAACUUCUAGCUGCAAUUAAUUGGUGGUGGCAUUGUAGUUUUCUUUUAAUUGUUAGAGGCUCACUACUAUGAAUACAGAGACUGAUUUUUUGUCUCUCACUGGUAUGCAACACUAGAAAAGGAUAUUCUUUGACAUUGAUGAGUGCUGGCUAUGUGCAUUGAUAUUCUUGGAAAUCCCCCUAUCUAUACGUGUAUAGAUAAAGAGAGGGAAAGGGAGAGAGAUUUCAUGUUAACUGACUCGAGUGAUUUCAUGUUGAUAAUCUCCUUUUUUUUCGGAAAGAUGAAAUGCAUUGUGUGAAUGAAUUCUGUGAGGCAGAAGUAUGUAGCUUAGAUGUAUAAUGUGAUCUAACUAGUGUGCUAUGGUUAAUGUUCCAUCAUCCUGAGUUUCUAUAAGUGGGCUAGAAAACUAUUCAAAGAUAAUUUCAGUAUGGAUACUGUGGUUGAUAAUAUUGACAUCAGUAAGAUAGAGUUGUCCAUGUGAAAUUUGGAUAAUAUUGAAGCUUUUGGAUAAUAUUGAAGCUUUUGAAUGAUGUCUAUUCCUAAAUUUUCAAGUGCUUCAGUUGUUCUUAACUAGCUCUGGCUGGUGAGUUUGCUAUGAUAGUUGAAGUAGUUGAGGUUUUAGGAUUUUUAUUUAUGUUUAUAUUUAUAUAUGUACUUGCAGAAUUAAUUAUAUGGUGGAAAUUUGGGUGGAGAUUAAAGGUUGUGUAAUUUAAAGCCCCUUAAAAUCAAGAGCAUUGGAAAUCAGGAUAUUGGUUGUUUUGGAUUCUUGGAAUCGUAAUUCUGUAGAAUGUCGUACGACUUCUUUGUAGUUGGUUCUUUUACCGCCUCUUCUUCUGUUUCCCUCCUCUUCUCUGCAGUCCUCUCUCUUCUGUUUAUGUUAUCUUUGGUGAUUAAUUAAGAAUCAAUUUUGUCUUUUUGAGCCAAGGCAAAUUUCAGACUGGUAAAUCGGCUAUGCAAUUUAACUGUUAAUAUUAACAGCACUGAAAUUGAUGUAUUUUGCAAUGUAUGGUGGAUAGUCAACUAUGCCAUUCACAGUAUUGCAAUAUUUGGUGGAUAAAUUAUCAUUGGUAUACUUUGGAGAAGAUCAUGAUAUUUUGUACUCUUUUGAUGAUGAGUUUAUGCAACGCAUUGAAUAAUAGAACUGCCACCAGAAGUAGACUCUUGAUAGUUCAAUAUGGCAGUUGAACAGAAAAAUUAUCUUUUGAUGUACUUUAAAGGCAUAAAUCUCUUCAAAGGUAAUAUUGAAUUUGAUUGAUAUGUAGAAUCACAUCAUUAGAUCUCUAAGAAAGGUCAAUAUAAGAGUUGAUCGACAUGAAUACUCGAAGUUCUUUGAUAUGUAGAAUCACAGUAUUAGAUUUCUAGAAAGGUCAGCGUAGAAGUUGAUCAAUAUGAAUACUCACGUCAGAUCUCUAGGAAAGAGUUAUCAAUUGGAUCUUCAGGCUUAGUUGCCUUAAUAUUGUGUCUCUCUGUUUGAUCUCUUCGUAGGAAAACAAAACAAAAAUGAAAGAGUAGAAAACAAGUCUGCGAAAUGGAAAGACUAAUUAUUAGGUUUCCACAUUAUUCUUCUCAGUCUUCUUGUUCUAGCGACAACCAAUUAAAUAGGAAUAUCAGCAAAUGGGGAGAAAAUACAUAUGAGAAGAGGCUGACCGUUAGUUAUAUAAUAAUCUCUUACUUCAAGAAGUCUAGGAAGUUAAUAGCAUCUGAAUGUUCAGCAUUUCAUUUUAGGACGAGCCAUAUACAAAAAGUACCAUGAAUAUCGGCUAAAACUAUUAUAUCGAAAAAUUGUAGGUAUAGGUGAUUGAUUUUGCUGAUAGCUAUCCAUUACCCUUUUGUGCCUGUUUAUCUUCAAUGUAACAGAAGAUUUCUAUUGCUUUAAAGUCUCAACAUAACGUAGCAUCCUUAUAUACUUUAGUUUCAAGUGCUUCUGCUUAAAAAGCUAUAAUUCUACUAGUCAGUUGUUCUGACAUAUUUGUUUCGACUCACAGAGGCGGCAACCGCCAGAAGUUCGGCAACAGCCUCCUGCCGAGCCACCCGCCCACCCACCCUCAUCCUCUCCGCAGCAACAGCAGCCAACAGCACCACCUCCUCCUCCUGGACCCACCAGGAACCUGAUGCAAGAACAGCCCUCAAUUGCUGCCGCUCCUGCCCAUCCGCAAGCCUCAUCAAAUCCCACCCGUACCCUCCCAUCCACUUCAGGGCCUGCCAGCCUCAGCUCUGCAUCUGAGGAACCAAUGCAGGUUGACAACACCGACAACCCCUCGGCAAAUGGAGAACUACAGAGUCCUGCCUCUGAAGAGACAGUCCUGGAGGAGGCUAUCCGUGUAACUCGAGCCCGGCUGAGGAAACGUGCAGCUGCUGCUGCACCCUCUACUCAACCCUCUUCUCAUUAGUACCCUCUCUCUCUCUCUCUCUCUCUCCCUCUCUCUCUCUCUCUCUCUUAUUUUAGCCAUUCUUUAGCUUUUGCUUAGUAAUACUAUUAGCUAGUUCUAGUUAGUAGUUGUCGCAGUAGUUGUAACAAUGUAAAUAAAUGACCUCAAGUGGAACUUUAUUGAUGAUGAUGAUGGUGGUGAUAACCUUUUAUUGAUGAUGAUGAUGAUGAUGAUGAUGAUGAUGGUGAAAGAAAAAAAGAAAAAGAAAACUCAAGGUGAGCCCUUGAAAAUGGAGGAGGGGGAGAGGGGAGCCGAGUCGAGCUGGUAGAGGCCAAGGGAGGGGCCGACGAAGCGGAAGAGGACCCAUCCGCCGAUGACAAUAAAGAUGGAGGCGUAGGCGAACUUGUUGAGCCAGAAGAGGAGGCCCUUCUCCCCCACAUAGAGCUCCACAGCCUUCUCCCCCAGCGUCAUCGCAUCCCACUCCUUUUUCGGCGGCGGUGACGGCGGCGCCUCUGCCGCUGCCUUUCUCUGCUUGGCCUGGUUUUUGGAACGUACCCGAUACUUGAUGUUGAGUGUGGUCCGCGGCGUUUUGGUUGUGGUGUCGUUGUUUGUGCCGUCGACGGUGAUUGGUGGUUGUUGUUGUUGUUGUUCUUCUCCUUUGUUAUCGUCGUUGGCGGUGGCCGGGCCAGUUGCUCGGAGUAUGACUAGGGGUCGGCGGCGGCGAGGAGCGAGGAAUAGGGAGGGGGAUUUGUGUGUGGUGUGGGUAGAGUUGGGAGGAGGGAAGAGGGGAGAGGGGAACGCCAUUUUCGCAUUCAUCGUUUUGGCUAGCUUCUUGAAUUCUUGCUUGCUAUUGCUACUAUUGCUAUUGCUAUUUGGUGGUGUGUGUUUGGUUCUCUCUCUCUGUCAGCUUUGGUUUACCUGUGCUCGUCGUGUAUAUGCUUGGUUGGGGACUUGAUGGUUCUCGUUAUCCGAUUCAUGUGUUUAUCUUUUAAGCUGGUUUUCUUUGUGAAAUGACUGUUUUGCUCUUGGAGGAGGAAAGGGCUUUAGCAGGAACUAGGAAUCGGUUCAUUGCACCCUUGCCUUUUCACUUUCUUAUAAAUAUAUGUCAAAAUAUCUGUAUUUCUGCAGUUAAUUUUUCUUAAUCUAUUAUAAAUUUUUAUAAUUAUAUAAAGAUCUUUUUACUUCUGCAUCUGCGGUUAAAAUAAAAACUAGGUAAGCAUUUUCUAUAUCUAUGCAUAUGUUUAAGAUCCGAUGUGGAAGCGUCCAUUUUUUUUUUUUUUUUUUCGAAAGUCUUGACCUCAAGGGAUGUUAGAUUUGUUACAAAUAUACAAUUUUACACGGAUAGAAAAUUUACUGUUCAUACGGACAGAAUUUUUUCUGUAUUUAUAUGGCGUCGCACAAGUACAAGAUACAACUACAGUGUAUAUAUAUAUAUAUAUACACACACACACACACACACACACACACACACACACACACACACACACACACACACACGACCAUAUAUACUCACCACAUCACCACAUUACAUAAUUGGAAGAAAAAAGAAGAAGCAACGUGUUUUCUUGUUGAAGAAAAAUUCACGCAGGAAGCGGAGGGCUAGAACUAAAAGUGCGAACCACAUAAGCAUAAAAAUUGAAGAAGUAAUUUUAGUUAGUAAAAUUUUUUUAAAAAAAUUGAUGAGAUAAGUAAAAAAUGAUGAUCCUUAGAUGUGCAUCUUAUUUAGAGUGUGUGCCACUACAAUUAAAGAAUUGGAAUUACUCUUCUUUCUUAUACAAAAAUAAAUAAAUAAACAAACAAACAAAGGAGGACUAGUUCAUUCUUUCAAAUUUUCAGAGGGGGAAACCUCGGUCGCAUCGCAUGUAAACAAAGCCUCGGGCCGGAGUUCGACCCACGGCCCACAUUAAAUUGAUACGCUCACCCACCUUUUAACAUCAAUCUACGCCCUCCUUUUACCCCUCAUUAUUAUUAUUAUUUUAUUAAUUCUUAAAAAGUUCGAGAGGGGGUUCACCAAAUCGGAGCGAAAGGGGAGAGACGCGAUGAUCUACCGGAAGUGGUCUCUGCUCUCAUCGACGAUCGUGAUUUGGGGCGGCGCCGCCACCGUCGGCCUCGCCGGGUUCUUCCUCUUCGGUGGCAAGGUCAGAUUUUUGUUUUUUCUUUUGUUUUUUUGUUUUUUUUUUUAAUGAUCUCGUUUACGGGUUUUGAUGCGGAUGCGAGGAUCUGCGGUUACUCUCAGCUUGAGACCUGUUGGGAAUCAGUAUCUGUUGAAUCAGUGUGUUUGAUUGUCGAAAAUCGAGUGUUUGUUUAGUUAUUUGCCCGGUUUGAUCUCUUUCUUACGAGUAUCUCCGUAGAUCCUCUUUUUUUUUUUAAUAUAUAUAUUAAUGUUCCUGAAUAUAUGAUGCUUAAUCUGAUAUAUUGGAUGAAUUUACUUAAUUUAUCUCAAAGUUUCUCAAAGUUUCUGUAUUUUCAUAUAUCUGAACUUCAAUUUGUUGGAAAUGUGACACGCUUCAAAUUAAACUUAUAGAGCCUAGCCCCUAUAACUUUUUUUGGAAGACAAAGAAAAUAAUAAGAGAAGAAGAAGAAUAAGAGAUGAUACGGUGAUGAUGUGGAAGUUGACUCAACUCUCAUAUCAUCUUCAUUUUUUUUAAGAAUGAGGUGGUAGUGGAAUUAGUUUUCAUAUUUCUUCAUAUUAUAUAAAACAAAUGAUGUGAUAAUCGAGUCAGCUGUCGUAUCCACCCUCCAUCAGAGAAAUUGAAGAGAUUCUGAUGACGUGACUUGAUUUAAAUAAAGAUUGAAGUUUGGCAGUUCGAUUGCCACGAACUAUAGUUAUGAAUUUUAAACUUUGCAAUAAGUCAAUUACCACCAUUGGUGUAAUUUACCCCUGAAAUAUCUUGUGUAGGUUUCUUUUAGAGCUACCGUUCGGUACGUUUUGAUCUUUUGGUUAGAAAUCCGCAUUUAUGAGAUGAUAUGGUGAUGAUGUGGGAGUUAAUUCAACUAGCAUAUCAUUUUCAAGAAUGAGGUGGUAGCUGAAUUAGCUGUCACAUUAUCUCCAUGCCAUCUCAAGUAGAUGAUGCCGCAGUUGACUGGGCUGUCCCGUCAGCCCUUCAUUAGAGAAAUUAGACAGAGCCCGACAACGUGACGAUUGAAAGAAAUAUUGAAGUUUGGUGGUUCGAUUGCGACAAAAUGGAGUUUCACAACCAAAACUUUGCGAUAAGUCAGUGACAAACGGUGUAAUUUACCCCUAAAUUAUCAUGCAUAGCUUCCCUUCACAGUUAGCAUUUGGUGGGUUUCAAUCUUUGGUUUGAAAUCCGUAUUUUUGGAUCACAAUUUCCUAUUCAUUUUUGGGUGUAGUAUAAAACAUUCACAGUAUAAUAGAGAACAGUAGACGGUAUCUGAAGCGGAAGUGCGUCAAUGGCAUAAAAUGUCUUCCAGAAAGGAGAGUUAGUUGAAGAUUAGGUUAGAAAAUCUGGUGAUGUGACAACAAAGAAUUGGUUUUCUUAACCUUGUUGCUCACAUCUAAACUAGAUGCUGCUUAUUAGACAAGAAAUUUUUGGGUCAAAAAAAAAUAUUAUUGAUAGUGUUUUUAAGAGGUGAGAAAUGGUGUUUGUACGUGAUAACUAUAAAAUUUCAUGUGAUAGCAUAACACAACUAAUGGUUGAAGCACCUCUGUCUUUAUGCAUCAAAAUUGUGUGAAGAAUGAAUAGAUGCAAGAAAGUGGAUAAGCAAUAGCAUCUGGGGGACUAUCAUUGCUUGCUGGCUACUGAUUAUUGAUGGAUGGAGCUGAGAUAGGGAGUAGAGGGAAGUGAUACGGGGCAGUGGAAGCAUGAAGAUAACAUUAAUCGAGUAUUUUAGAGGGAAAGAGAUCUUAUAGUAGUGUUUGGCAUAUCUUUGGGAAAAGAUUUGAAAAGCUAAGUUAACGGUGGUACUAUUUACUUUAAGCAUAAAUGACAAAGAUUCUGAUUACUUGUUUUCAAGAAUGUAUUGGCUUUUAUGAUGUAGAGGAGCAAGGAUUUAGGAUUAGGUAACUAGGGAAUUGUGUUGUGCUUUAGACGCUCGGUAGCAGACUUUUUUUUAUCACCAAGCGAGUCUAGAUCCAUUACUAUAAUUAGUUUAUGCGUUUGAAGAGGUAUAAUUAGAAAUAGCUAUGUUAUUGAUGCAAUUUUCCAUGUUGCAAGGUAGCCAACUUACUAACUGGAUAGCCAAAGCCGAUCAAUCCUUCUGUUGCAACUAGUGAUAUUUAUAUAAUCAACAUUAUUGAGCUGGAAAAUGAAUUGUUAACUUUUUUUUUUUUUCCAGUCAGCAGUAUAAGAAUCUGUUUAGUUCUCCUUGAAUUAGUGGAUUAGGAAACUCCAUUCCUAGUCCUAUUGUGAGAUAUGGUAAUGAAUUUUCUUUCAAGCCAUGUUAACUUUUUUCCUUAGAAUUCUUCAUAUUCCCUUGUUUAUCUUUAGAAACAUUAUCUCGUGAAACUGGGCUAGUCGAGCUUUUCUACUUUUGCUGCAGUACCUUUCUACUGAUCCUAUCCCCCAACCUUCCGAAGAUUAACUCAUGAGCCGUUGGUGUCAAAAGAGGAGAUAUCAAUCCUUCUCUUCCUUACCCCCUCCCCCUCGAGCUAAGCUUCCUUCACUGACCCCAUUGGAUGAGCUGAGGCCUUUGGCUCUGAACGUGCAAUGUAGAUGCAACAAUUAUAGUUGUGGUAGAGAGUAUAUUUGCACUAGAUUGUGUAUGGUUAAUAGAGAUUGGGAUGGCCCCAAGAUAUGAUGUUCCAAGAAUUGCUUUCUCAUUGGUGCUAUUUUGCCCUUUUAUCUUUUGGUCUCUAAAUUUCUUGUUUAAUCUCUUUUUGUUUACGUUAUAUAAUGUUAUUUUUCCUUUCUUUUUCUUUAGUCUCAAGAUUACAUAAUUCAAUGUUCAAAACAUGUUUCUUUGCUUUUUUCGCCCCUAUAUUUUUUAUAUAAUUACCAUACUUCUCUUUAUGGUUUCUUGAAACGAAGAAAACAAAUAUGCAAGCGAUGCCAAACAAGUUUAUGAAAGUAUGAGACAAAUGGGACAAAACGGUUAAGUCAAAGAAAGAAGUGGCGGAAAAGCACAGCAUAAGCAGUGAAUCCCUAGCUUUUUCGCAUUAGGAUGUUGUUGAUUGUUUUGUGACAUGUAAAUUUUACUAGUCAGAGACCUUAAAAGGAAUAAUGUUUCAUCUGCAGGAGAAGUUCCAAGAUUAUCUGAUCCGUGAGGGUGAGCGGCUCCGGCAGCAGGAUAGGGCCAUGAUGGCUAAAACUAGCAAAGCCUAAAUGAGUCCAUAAGAAGGCGAUUCGGCCAUGACUAUGCCCUUGUUUUAUUUGAACCACUUGGCAUGGUGGGAAUCAGUCUUGUACGUUCAUGUUAAUAAUCGUCGCUUCGGUGACUCUUAAAUCUGUUUGCUUUGUUACUUUGCUUGCAAACUAGUCGCUAUUGAAUGCCAAAUAUGGAUUUUUCAUAUGCUUAUGACAAAUCUGAGUAUGAUUCUACUUAAUUCAGCUCAUCUCCGCAUUCAUCCCAAUUUAGGUCUAAAAUUGUGCAGGUACAGUUAAUUUAGUUAACCAUAGGUUAAAGUCCUAAUGUUUUCAGAUAUGUUCCUGCUGUUAGAAUCUGUGAGAAAAAUUUAGUUAGCUAUAGGUUAAAUACUUUGCCCUAGUUAAUUUUUGACAUUUUUACACCUCUUAUAUUAUACUGUUAUAAUAUUUGGAGGGGUAUAUUUGUGAUGGCAAAAUUGAAAAUAUAAACAGUUUUUAAACGGUUCUCUAACGGUAACAAACCAGAGGGGCAUAUUUGAAAAUUUUAGGAUUUUUGUAAGAAUAAUUUAUGAAAGUUGAAUUUGAUAGGAAUAUAUUUGUAAUUCACUAUAUUUGUAGAAACUUAUAUGCAAUUAACCUCCUUUUUUUUUUUAACUAGACUUCUGAAAAGAUUUUGUCAACCAUUGGAUGUACAUCUCUGUACGGAUAGUAUAUUUCAAUCACAAUCAUAUUAAGACGUAGUAAUGUAGUGGCUAAAAGCAUUAUUUUUAUACUAUAAAAGGCUUAACAGUUCAAAAUCGAUUAUAUUCUUUUCUUUUUGUUGCUUUUAAAAAUAGACAUACUUUUUUGGUGGCAAUUGCAAUCUUUAUUUAAGAUUGCAACUAUUUUUCAAAUUUUUAGGCCUUCUAUAACAUAAAAAAUAGUAUCUUUAGUCAGCAUAAGUUUUAGUAAUUCGAGAACAUCUCUCGUGCUUUCGAAAGUACAGAGGUUUCCGUACUUGUAAGUUGUUUUCGAUGAUAGGACAUCCGAUUUGACGAUCGGCUCCGCAAUGCAUAAUCUAUACUAUUGGAACUAUUUAGAAACCAAAUUUUAUAAUUUUUCGACAUUAUUUACCAAGCGAUCACAGGGUCUCAAAAAUGACUAUUUUAACGACCGAUGUGGUACGUUUUUAAGUUCAAAGGUGUAGAAAUAUCUAAAUUACAUGAAACUUUAAUAGAAAAUUCUAAACAAUCUUCCGAUUUGAAAUUUGAAUCAUUUAUCACUAUUUUUUAUGAGAUUUUUAUUAUCAGCCGUUCAUUUUGAGGCUACUCGUUCACUAGGCAAAUAAAGUCAAAAAAUUAUGAAAUUUGGUUUCUAGAUAGUUCCAAUAGCGUAGAUCAUGUUUAACGGAACCGAUCACCGAAUCGGACGUCGCAUCAUUGAAAAUAAUUUACAAGCACGGACGCCUCCGUACUUUCAAAAGCAUAGGAGCCUAGCUCUUAGAAAUUCUACAUUUCGAAAAGUGCUCCUUGUGGAAUUUUUUGUUCAUUGGGUUCACCCAUUCACUCAAUGCAUCGAGGUUGGGUUGAGCUUAUUUUGACUAAAGCAGCAAUUUGGGUCAACCUAUUUUACUUGGAAAUUAAGUUCGAUCGAUCGAGCUUCCUUCACCACAAUCGAGUCAAAUCAGACUAGUCAACACCUUGUGGCCUUUUUUCCCAACUUCUAAUCAACCUAAAACGAACUGAUCAAUAUUAUUAAUUUAUUGUUCUCUAUUAAUCUAAUAUUAUUAUUACCAUAAUUUAUCUAGAAGGGUAAAGAAAAAAAGCUUAAACAAAACAAAUGGCUAAAGUAUAGAAAACCUCUUUGAAUAUAUUGGUAUUUUCAAUAAAGAUGAUCACUUAACAUCUCUUCCUUUUUCUGGUAAUACCUGUAGCAUAUUAAAUAUAAAAAUAUAUAAACACCGUUCUUUAAUAGUUUAAAUUUUUAGAGUACAACGGUUGUUUCAUGAAACCCUAGAUCUCAAACAAUCAUUAUAUUUUAAACGCUUAAGCUAUUAGAGGGUGGUCUUUAUAUAUUUUUAUAUUUAACACAGCACAUUCAAUAUUCUCCACUUUGCGAAUAACAUGUAGCUAAAUUUUUUUUUUUUAAAAAAAAGUUAUAACUCAGCAUGUCUGAAUACUAAUUUUCCUACCAUACAAGACAUAUAAUUAUCAUCAUCAUUAUUGGAUGAUAUUUUAGAAUUAUUUAGUAUUUUACGAUAAGAAACUUUUCUCAAUCAUAAAUUCUUUUUAUAAUUGAAAAAGAAGAAGAAGAAGACUCAACUUAGAGACUAAGAAAGGUAUACUUAUCAUCAAUGUACUAUUAUUUUUUUAAUUAGACUUUUUCGUUGCGUUGUUUUUUUUAUGACAUAGUGAUGAUCAUUUAGCAUGUUACUAGUAACUAUAAACAACGGUCAAUGCUAAGCUUGGGUCGAAAUUUCGCAUGCGACUCGUAGACGAUGUGUUUGUUUGCUUCCUCUAAUUUUCUCCAUCCAGAAUUUGAAUUUUCGUCCGAGCCAACUGCAGGUUUGAGCAUCUGCUGUCGUCGGGCUGCAUGGGAUAAUGCAGCUGACGCAGGUGCAGAAAUUUAUGCUAACUGCAGAGAAAAUUCCAUCCCCAAUUGCCGACUGGAAUAUUUUGGGAUGACAAUUUUCUCCGCCGAUUCUGACAUCCACAGAAAUUUGCUCUGGAUGGGGCUGGACUUGCAGGUAAUAGGGCAGGAACAGGGAUAUUACUUUUCGUCCUGCAAAAAUUUCGAUUCUCUAAAAUAAUAUAAUAUAAUAAUAAUAAUAAUAUGAGUGGGCUGGUAUGCUUAUGGAAGCACAUAGCCCUCCGUGCUUCCAAGUUGUUUUCAAUGUUCGGACUUUCGAAUCGACGAUCGGCUCCGUUAGAAUUGAUCUAUAGUAUUUGAAGUACCUAGAAAAUAAAUUUUGUGAUUUUUCGAUUUCAUUUGCCUAGUGAUCAAAGUGGCUCAAAAUCAAUAAUUUUAACGGCCGUUGUGAGCCGGUUGCAAGUUUAACGAUGUAGAAAUAUUCAAAUCAUAUGAAAUUUUGAUAGAAAAUUCUUUAUACUAUAUAAAAUAAGAUCAAUAACUUUGAUCUAAAAUUUUAAUGUCAUAUCAUCAUAUUUUGUAAGAUUUUUAUUUUCAGCCGUUGAUUUGAGCCACUUCGAUCACUAGGCAAAUGAUAUUGAAAAAUCGCAAAAUUUAUUUUCUAGAUACUUCAAAUACUCUAGAUCAAGUCUAACGGAGCCGAUCGUCGAUUCGAAAGUCCAAACAUCGAAAACAAAGUGGAAGCACGGAGCCCAUAAGCAUCCUAGCCGCACUCUAAUAAUAAUAUGAAUUGAAAUAGAAUAUAUCUAAAAGUACUGAAUCUAUUAGUGCUUUAAGAUUUCUAACCCUUAGACGAAGGUAUUGUAGGGUUAGAAUGAUAGUAAUCCAUUUGGGUUGAGUAGUGGUAGAUGGAAUAGUAUUUGAUUCAAAUGUCACUAAUAGUCAAAGAAUAAAUCUAAAGACUAAAAACCUAAAAGUACCAAUGGCUCAGUGCUUUUAGAUGUAUUCUAGCUUAACUCAUAAUAAUAUUAUGAGUUGAGCUGAAAUGCUAUUAGUAGCAAACGGGCUCUGUUGCCAUCCAUUUGUUUUCGAUAAUGGAGCUUACAAAUUGACGAUUGGCACCGUUAAACAUGAUCUAUACCACCAUGUGAAGUAUUUAGAAAUCAAAAUUUAAAUAUUUUCGACUUUAGUGGCCUAAUGAUCAAAAGAUUUUAAAUUUUGUAAUUUUAAUUGUCGAUAUGAGACGUUUUCUAGUUUAACGGCGUAAAGAUAUCCAAAUCAAUUGAAUUUUAGUUGGAAAGUUUUUUAAACUAUUUAGAACAAGAUCUUGAUCUUGAUUACAAGAUUCCUAUCAUCACUUUUUAAAAAAAAUUUAUUUUCAGCCGUUCAUUUUUGUGUCCACUUGAUGGAUAAGAGAAUAAUGUUAGAAAAGUAUGAAAUGUGGUUUCUAGAUGCUUCAAGUUGUAUAGAUCAUAUUCAAUAGUGUCGAUCGUUGAUUCGGAGACUCCAUCACCGAAAAUAAAUGGGUGGCAACGAAGCUCGUUUGUUACUUAUAGCUUUCUAGCUCACCACAUAAUAUUAUAUAGUUCUUAGUUAUUUAUAAUCUAAUUAAAUAUUUGAUUAAUGUAUAUUUUUAUUAAUUUAAUUUGUCAUACUUGAUACUUGAUAAUUUGACAACAAGGCCCUGUUUGGAUGCAUAGUUAAAAAACUCCAUAGAAUUUUUAUUCUAUAGUUUUGGCCUAAAUGAAAUACGGAAUCCUGUAACUACAAAAAUAUUCCACAGCUUCAUUUUUAAGAUGUUUGGAUACAGAUCAUACAAUUCCACAGUAUUUAUAACAAUUAAAUUUCUAAAAUUUUAAAAUUCAAAAUUCAAAACAAAUUCAAAUUUUCAAAUUCAAUUUUAAUAAAUAAAAUUCAAAAUUCAAAAUUAUAAAUUAAAAUUAAAAUUAAAAUUUAAAAAUUUAAAUUAGUUUAUGUCUUAAUUUGAAAUUGAAAUUUGGAAUUUUGAAAUUUAAAAUUUGAAAUUGAAACUUUAAAUUUUAAAAUUUAAAGUAUACCAUUUAAAUUUAAAAUUUGAAAAUUAAAAAAUCUAUAAUUAAAAUUUUAAAUUUUAAUUUAAUAAUUUAUAAUAUUUAAAAAAUUAAAAUUUAAAAUUUAAGUUUAAAUUUAAAUUUUGAAAUUGAAAAUUUAAAAUUAAAUUAAAAUUAUAAAUUUGAAAUUUGAAAUUUGAAAUUUGAACUUUUUGAAAUCUGAAAUUUGAAAUUUGAAAUUUGAACUUUUUGAAAUUUGAAAUUUGAAAUUUGAAAUUUAAAAGUUGAAAUUUGAAAUUUGAAAUUUGAAAUUUGAACUUUUUGAAAUUUAAAAUUUGAAAUUUGAAAAUUGAAAUCAAAAUUAAAAUGAAAUUUAAAAUUUUAAAAAUUUGAAAUUUAAAAUUUUAUGUUGAAAUUUAAAAUUUAGAAAUUAAUACAUCUUUGGGAGCCCAAAAUGGUGUAAUUUUUUUCCUUUGGUUAAAGUGGAUUGUAGGUUUACUCCAUUUUUUGAAGUAUAGUAUAACUAUACUUCAAAAAUUAUGUUAUUUUCUUUUCUUCCAAACACUUCAUAGGAUUAUUUUCCUACCGGCGUAGCAUAGUUUAACUAUGCUACGUUUUUAGAGGUAUCCAAACGGGGCCUAAAUAAAAUUGAUAUCCGAACCCGAAUCAAUGGGUUUCCGUCUUUUACACCCGUAUUCGAAAUUAUAUAUAUUUAGCAUUAGAUAAAUAAACUCCGUUUAGAUUUGAAUUCGGAUAAAAUUUAUAGUAUUUGUACUCGUUGACAUCCCCAUCCCUGCAACGUCCCGCACCGUUGCCAUCCCUAACGACAUUGGCUGGUCAACAGAUUGCAUUGCAAUACUUACACACGAAGGAUACAUACUUAGCAGACUAUAUCUUUAUAUCUAUUCAAGAUCAUUGAAGACUGUCAAGAAGCUUAAUUAAUGGAUUGCCAGGCUGUACAUCUUGGCAAGAAAAUAAGCCCAUAAUUUACUGACUUCCAAGCCCAUAAUUUACCUAAGUUGGCAAGUAGACUUGAACAAGGAUCCAUGCUUACUAGAACUCCUCAGUACCAGAAUUGUUCUGAACUACUUUUUUUUUUAGGGGCAAUUGCUUAUAUACCUCUGAAAAGUAUCUGACUUUUCGAUUUACCCCUCUUAGAAGACUAAUAUUGAAAAUACUCCUCCUACGUUCCAACCUAUUUCUAAUAUACCCCUAAAGUUAAAAUCUGUUAAUUAACUCUGUUAUCUCUGUAAAAUUACUAUUUUGCCCUUUCAAAUAUACCCUUCCACAAUCACUUUCUUUCUUAUUUGCCUUUAAAGUCAAGGGUAUAAAAAGUAUUUUGACUUUUGGUCUUUUCCAAUAUACCUCUCUACCGUCACUAACCUUUUUUAUUUGCCCUUAAGUUAAGGGCAAAAUUAGCAUUUUAAUUUUUUUAACUGUGGUAGAUAUUUAACUCACGUUUAACCCAGGUUAACUUAACAGGAAAUAACUGCGGAGGUAUUUUGCAAUAACGGUGAAACAUAUGAGGAGUAUUUUAGAAAAAAAAAAAUAGACGUAAAUCGGAUAUUUCCAAACGUAUGAGGAGUAUAUAGGCAAUUAUCCCUUUUUUUUUAUAGGAACAAAGAUGCAUGUUGACUGGAACUCAGUUCCAGAAUUGUUCUGAACUACUUUAAAUACCACCUUUAUAAUUUUAUAUUUUUUCACUUUAGUAUCAUAUAAUUUAAAAUGUAUUACUUUAGUACUUAUAUUUUUUUUUUUUUUCUCUUUCUAUUAUUCUCUCUGUUAAUUCUUUCGUUAAAAGAGUAGCUCUAAACGAUACAUCCCUUCCCUUGGCACUUUCCCCGUUUUACUCUGAUCACAGAAGGAGCUCUUUGCCUGUUAGCAAUUGAAUCAGAAUAAGUUUUUGGAGUGAUAAAAUUAAAACCGCAAGAUACUAAAGUAAAAAUUCAGUAAAUUACAUGAUAGUAAAGUGAAAUAUUCGAUAAAUCAGAGGUGGGGUAUCUGAAAUUUUUUUGUAUAUAAUUUAAGAAAAAAUUAACGGCUUGAAAUCAUAGAGUACUAAAAUGAGUAAGGAUGAAACCACAUGGGUGCUAUUUGAAGUUUACUCUUUCUAAUACAAAUGAUAGCAAAAUGAUAGUUAUUUAAUUAGUCUAUGGACAAUUUCUUCGGUGGAAAAAAAGGUUUAAUAUUCUACUUGACUUUAUUAACCUACGUAUUCAACUUAAAUAUGUCUUAUAAAAACGUGGGAAUUAAAAAAUUAGUUUAUUUGAUGUUGAACCUAAAAAAAUUCUGCUUGACUUUACAGUUUAAGCUGUUUUGUAUAAACUCCAUUAAUUUUGCGUCACCGUGUAUUACAUCAAUGGCUGACAUUUUAGUACUUAAAUUUUAAUUUACUAUAAUAAUUUUUAUUUAAAAUUUUUAAAUUAUUAUAAUCAAGUCUUAUAAUUUAAUUUAGUUAGCUAAAUAUUAAAAAAUUAUUAAUAUAGAAGUAAUAUAAUAUUUCAAUUAUUAUUGCAUUAUGAAUCAUAAUAUGUUUACAUUAUUUUUAUAUAAAUAAUUUGUCAAUAUUUAGUCAACUAAUUUAAAAAGUUUGAGCUAAAACUUAUAACAAAUUAAAGUUUGAGAACCAAAUUAAGCAUCAUGUUCCUUACAGUUUGAGAAACCAAAUAUGCAAUUUACGUACCCAUGGUUUAUGCAAAAAUAUAACCUUUUUUUUUUAAUAAAAGAACAUUUAUAUCUUUUGAAAGAAAAAAAGAAAUUUUAUCAUAAAUUGAAAAGCCAUAUUACUUUAGUCGUAAGGUGUACCAAAAAAAGUAGCAAAAAGUUUGAGAGUUGUUCGCAAAAACUUUAGAACUUUAGCUCUUUUAUAAAUAGGCAUUUUGAAAUUUUAAAUUUUGGCGAUUAAAUUUCGUAAAUUUUAUCAAAUAAUUUAAUAGUCUCUCUCUUCAAUCUAACUUAUAAUCAAGUGUAAAACUGUUUUAAUCAUGUGCGUAUAGUCUUAUAAGAGUUUAAAGAUAUUUAAACAUGUAUCUUUUUUAUUCCAAAUUUAAUAAUCAAGCAUGAGAAUUGAGGAAUAGGAUUAACCUAUCUUAAAUUUUUGUUUCUUUUUUUCUUAUAUAUAAUAAAAUAGAAGAAAUAAAUUUAUUUGUGUUUUGAAGCUUAAAUGCAAAACAUAGGGCAUUAAAAAACAAAAAAAGUUUCUAGCUAGAGAUCAAAUAUAUAUAGAAUGAAAGGCAAAUAUAAAGCAUUAAAAAAAUAAUUAAUAAAUACAAUUGCUAAAAAAUAUUACAUGAAAAAUAAACAUGUACAAUUUUGAUGCAUCCAUGGCAUAAUUAGUGAUAUUGUAAAAUACAUCAUUUUUUAUAUAUGUCAUCAAAUAGUUAUUCAUUAAUUGAUCAUAAAUUUAAAAAAAUUAAAUUUACAAUUACUAAAAAGUAAACAGAAUAAGUGAUGCACAUAUCUUAAGCAAUUAAAAAAAAUUAUGUAUGAAGUGUCUUGAUGCACACCAAAGUAAGGUUAGAUUUGGGAUUGGGGGCCUUAAUAACUUUAUAAUUAGAUGAUAAAGGGAGAGAUUAAGAGAAAAAUAAUGUGGAUAUAUAGGUUUGAAAGAAGAAAAGGAAUGAGAUUAUUAUUUUUAUAAAAUAAAUUAUUAACUCCGGUCUACUGUCACAUAUUAAUUUUACCUUAAUUCAAUAAUUUGUUAUGUAUUUUUUUUAAUACUAAAAUUUUUUUAAAAAAAAUUAAAUUUUGAAAAAAAAAUUACAAUUCUUAGACAGAAAUAAAAGUGACACGUGGUAAUAGAUUAGGGAUCCCAAAUGUGGCAUCAUUGGGGAGCUCUCCGCUAAAUUUUUUUUUUUUCCUUAAUUGACCUCUGGACACACAAUAGGUAAAAUUUAAAAAACUUAAUUGCUAAAAUUAAAAAUUUUGGCUUCUUUUUUAUUAUUGUCUUUCUUUUUAUUUUUUUAAAGACUAAUUUUACAUAAUUUAAUUUGUCUGAGUACAAGCAUUUUACAUAAGGCUAAGUAAUAAAUAAUAAUUUGUUAAAAAAUAAAAAAUAAUAAUUUUAAGUUCUUUUUUAAUGUUGUCAAGUAAAAGUCUUAAAUGGAAGGAUGAUGCUAACUAUUAAUCUCAAAAGUUCGAGAUAUUAAAAAAACACAAUGAUUUAUUUAAAGUGUACAAACAAAAUAUCUACUGAUCUGGAUUGUGCCUCGGCCCAACAAAAUAUAGCGCUAAAAUAUCUCUUUAGAAACGAGUUAUAAUUGGGGAGCUCUUUCUGUAAUGGAUAAAAUUUUAGUGGAAUACUUCCCAGUAACACCUCGCUUGUUGGGAAGCAUCUGAUCCACUGACAAGUCUUAAUUUUGCAUCUAUCCAUUGGCUAGCUCAUCGAAUAUUUUUUAUAUUGAAAUCUAAAAAUUUUAAAUUAAAAAAAAAAGAUAAUGAGGUAUUAAGGUUUAGUUUGUUAUUGAGAUGGAUCUAACGUUAGUAGAUAGAAUGGAGUUGAGAAAAAACAUAUAGGAAUAUGAUUCUACGUUCUCCGAUAGAACCGCAUAAAAUAUAUCGUAACCGACUAAUCGUAAUAUGCGGAACGCAAUAUUACGUACGAAAAUAAAUAAAGUAUAUUUUCAUCGUCCUUUCUCACCGCACAUAACGCAAUCUCCUUUAUCGCCCUUUCUCACUGUUCAUAACGCAAUCUCCCCGCAAUUUCAAAUGAAAUCUAAGAUUCCGUGUAGGAGACGUGGUUAGGAGGAAUUCUAUACUGUCACACUUGCACCACGUCAUUAAUAACAAGCCAAUCACAUUCUUUCUUUUCAAAUAAAAAUACAAUAAAAAUAUUUUUUUAAAAUCAUGAUGGGACAUAUAUUCCUAAAAAAAAAUUAAUUAGUUUAUUAUGUCACAUCAUUAAUAUAUUCUUUGCAUUCUAGGAUUUUUCGUGGUUCAGAGCUCUCUCUUUUUCAUGUACAUUUUUUUCCAAAAGAAAAAGGGAAAAGUUUAAUCGAGACAGAUUCGUACGAGAGAAUUUGAAGCCGAGAAGAGUGCCACGUGGCAGUGGGCGGCGCGCGCGGAUUAGUCCGUACACGGUCGGCGACGUACUUUGCGGUGGGCCCCGCGUUCUAGAAACGCAGGCUAAUUACGCCACGCACACCAAAUUUGAUCUAAAAAUGAUUAAUACGUUUUUUUUGGGUUACGGAGGAACGCGACAGCACUACUUUAAAAUUAAUUAUAUAAAAAAAAUUAUAUUUUAAUUUUUAAUUUAUUUACUGCCACAUCACAAAUGUAAUAUUCAAUACCAAAAUAAAUAAGUAAAUUAUACUUUUAUCAUACUUUUGUGAUAUGUAAUGCAAUUCUGUCUCAAAAAUAAAGUCUAACAGUGUGUGUGUGUAUGCACCAAUAAUUUAGUACUUUUAAAAAUAUACAAGCUCAAUUAUAUAUAUAUUUUUUGUCAUUGAAUUAAGGAAUGUGCGGUUAUGAUGAUGUAGAACUCUUAGGGUUGAGUGGGUGUUGGUUAAAUAGUAUGAUCUAAUGAAUAAAAAUGAUCAAAAGAGUAGAUUUAACGGUAAACAAUUUACAAGCACCAAAUACUUGGUGUUUGUAAAUAUAAAAAGCACCGAGCACUUGAUGCUUGUAAAUUUUUUACCGUUAGAUCUAUUUUUUGAUCAUUUCCACCCAUUAGAUCAUAUUAUUCAAUCGAACGAGUAAAUAAAACAAAAAUAAAAUAAAAUAAAAUAAAAAAUAUUGUAUGUUGUGUAACCCGUUCAACUCUUCUAAAGCAUUUUUUAACCCCUUUUUUUAAUUUUUCGGAAAAAAAAAGUUGUUAAUUACCCCUAUGAAUUUUGUGUAAUUGGUGAGAGGAAUGCAUGCAUUUAUUUUUUCACAAAUAUUUUUUUUUCGUAGGCUCUCAUAAUUUUAAAAAUUAUUUAAUAUGUUAGAACCAAAUUAUUUCUUCGGCGGCAAAAAAUAAAUGUAUUUUUAUUUUUUAUUUACAAAAUUUUUUAAACAAAUUAUCAUUUUUUAUUAAGUCAGAAUGCACUGUAUUUAAACGGAAAAAAAACUAAGUGCAUCCAAACAGUCAGAUUUUUUAAAAUUUUUGCGCAUAAUAUUUUUAUUAUGGGUGAUUAUUUAUGAUGAACUCAUAUUAUUUAGAAUAUCUUUAUAUUAUUUUUUAAGUUGGGAAAGUGAUCUAAAAUUGUAUUGAAGUGUAGAUGGUCUCGGACAAAAAUUUUAUGGGCACAGUUCUCAAACAACUUGUUUGGGGACGAUGACGGUGGGCGCCGUGUGGUGUGCGGGUGUCCAUCACGACCCUAAAAAAUAAAAAUAAACAAAAUUUGUCGGCUCCCAUUGUUUAGAGAGAGAAAGAAGCAGGUGAGAGAAAGGGACGGUCGCGAUGGGCGCCCGCACACUACGCAACGCCCAUUUCACGAUCGCAUACCACGCGGCGCUCAUCUGCUCCGUCUCCAAACAAUUUGUUUGGGGACGGGUGCCCACAAAAUUUUUGUGCGGUGGCCUCACACCUUUAAUCAUUUAUCCUUUUGAUUUAUCAUGUUUUAUUAAAUUACGUAUCUAAAAUUUUUGUGCUCGAGGUGAUCGCAUACGAAACUCGUGUAAAUAAGGAGGCCCGCCUUUCACGUCAAUCGUACAACACCAAACACUGCUCAUAUCCGUAGGAAUCCAACACGUGUACAAUAAUUUGUGGUAGGUGUAACGGUGAAAAUGGUACGGAUAAUUUCGGAUUCAAUAUGAUGCUGAUCGAUGAUAAAAUUUAGUAUUCCACUCAUAUUUGUAUUUGAAUUCAUAUUCAAAAAAAAUAAGUUAAAUAUAAAUUAAAUAUAAUUUUUUAAAAAAUUCGAAUGCAAUCGACCAAUUCAUCCUCAGGAGAUAAAAGAAAUAUUAGUAUAUAUUAUAGAGAGAUAAAAUGAUUCUUUAUCUUUUUUUCUUCGUUUACUUUAUUAUGAGUUUUAUAUUAAAGUUGCAUUUAUAUUCGUCAAAUAUUAAAUUUUAUUAAAUAAAUAUAGGUAUACAAAGUUUGAACUUGAAUGUGAACCUUUAAAUGCAUUGUGCGUCUAAUCCGUACUAAUUUCAUUUCAUAUCGAUUUAUGCAUAUAAGUGUGUAUUAUUAUCUGAAUACAAAUUCGAGCCAUAUCUGAAUACGAAUAUGUUUUUAGUAGGCAUAGUAAUGAAAAUUUGACAUCCAACACAUAUCAGCAUCCGAAUUCGCAUCUAUAAAGUAUGGAUGUGAAUAUGGUUUUGUCAAAAAAUUUGACCGUAUUCAAUUGUUUUCAUCCCCAGGUGGGUGAUCCUUUACUUAUCAAUCUUUUAGUUUAUUAUAAACUUUAAUUUAAAAUUUAUUGAUUGUUGUAAUUAAGUUCUAUGGUAUAAUAUAAUUGGUUGAAUGAUAAUAUAUUAUUGAUGUGGCAAUGAUGCGACAUAUUAGUUAUUAUAUCAUUAUCACAUCAGCGGUACAUCACUAUCUAUCUAGCCAACUAAAUUAUAUUGUAUAAUUUAAUUACAGUGAUUUAUAAAAUUUAAAUUAGAAAUUGUAAUAAAUUAAAGUUUGAAAAUCAAAAUAUCACAUAUCGCUUAGUUUGCAAACGAAUAGUGUAAAUUUAGCGUUUACAUAAUUGGCACUCUUUUAUCUUAUAAUUUUUAACUAAAUUUGUAUGGUUAAUUAAUUUAAAUAUUUUAUUAAAUUUUGUAGCUCAAUUAUCUAUUGAACAUAAUUAAUCUCCUUUUACCCACUAUAAAGUAGUUUAUUAAGGUCUUGUUUGGCAGCAUUAAUUAUUAUUAUUUUUUGUAUAAAUAUAAUUCAUGCAUGAAAUAAUAAAGAAGAAGACAAUUGAUUGUUUGCCCUCAUUUCAUUCAAAAUAUUUGUUAACAAUAAAAAGUAAAAUUUUGAAGGCAAUUUUUCCUCUUAAAACUUUUUAAAUAAUAAGUUAUCAUUCAUCAUUUGAUCAAAAUGUAUUAGCAUGCUAACCAAUAACAACAACAAGUGAGAUUUUUUUUUUUUUUUUUCAGUUGAUAAUCAAAUUAUAUAUACUAACAAAAUAAAAAAUUACCUUAUAUUUUAUUAUAGCUAGAGUGAACAUCUUACACCCUAUUAUUCUUCUACUAGGAUAUGAAAAACUAUUUUUCGAAAUUUUGUACUUAAAAAAAUAAUAUGACAAGUAAAAAAAAUCUUAGCCUUUUUAAAGGCUAAGGUAAAAGUUUUACAAAUACUAUAGAUGUUCAUGUAGCAUUGCUCUUUAUAAUUAUAAAUGAAAUUGCUAAAGUUUCUAAUUUAUUAAAUAAAAAUUAUUGGGUCAAUUUCAUUUGUGUCCCUCUAAACUUCAAAAAUAUCAUAGAUGCCCCUAUAAAUUUGAUUACAUCACAAAUAGCCCUACAAAUACUUACUAUUUUUCAAAUAUGUCCUUAUCCUUACUAUUCAUCUUUUUAUAGAAUGAUAAAAUAUUUAGAUUAUUAUAAAUAUGGUCGAAAUGUCCAUUUUGUCCUUAACUUCUAAAAUUUUUUACAAAAAUAUUUAGCAUGAUAAUAUUUAUUUUAAAAUAUUAAAAUAAAGAGUAAUAUAUAUUAUUUUACCACUGUGUGGUUUGUAAAAUAAGAUACUUUACAUCAUUUAUUUUAAAAUUCUAGAUGCUAAAGCACAGAAAUUUGUGCUAGUUCAAAUAACUUAAUUUACAUCAUGCAUAUAUAUUUAAAUUAUAUUUUGAAUGAGCUGUUUAACCUUAUUUUAAUGAGUCAAUUGAUAUUUUAAAUAAUUUUUUGCUAAAUUUUUUUCAAAUUUUUUUAUUUUUUUAGCUUAACUUGUCAGGAUUAUAUAUAUAUAUAUAUAUAUAUAUAUNGUUAUUAAAAAAUUGAUAAUAAAUUAGUGUAAAGGUUAGUUUUGAAAGUUUCUCUCUUUUAAAAGAUUAUUUAUGAUAUUUUAAUUUUUAUAGGGGCAUUCAUGAUAUUAGAUUUAUUUGGAAGGGUAGUAAUGAAAUUUUUCCAAAAUUAUUUGGUUUUAAACAGAAGUCUAUACAAUUGGUGUAAAUCUUGCAGUAGUCUUGAGCUUUAAAUCUUGAGGUACUCUUGAGGUUUCUAUGUCUCACAUUUGCUUAUUUGUUUUAUCAAUUUAAUUUUAUAUUAAAAAUUUAAGAAAAAAUUUUAAAUGUUAAAAUGUAUAAAACUUAUUUCAACUAUCAUUUAUUUUGAUCUAACUAUCUUAUUUUAAAAAUUUUAAUUUUACUACAUAAACCCUUUAAUUAAUUUUUAUUUGGGCUUGUUGGUUAUUGUUUAACUUCAAAAUUUGAAUUCGCCGUUUAUCUUUAUGGAUUUAGUUAGUACAUUAUAUAUAAUUCAUAUAAUAAUAAAUUUAUUAAAGUAAAUUAUUAAUUUACAUUUUGUAUUCAAAAUAUUAUCAAAUUAAAUAAAUUAAAAAAAUAGAUAUUAAAAAUAAAAUUUUAAAAUAUUGGCUACUCAAAUUAAAAUAGUCUGUAGAGAGAGAGAGAGAGAGAGUUGAGCUGAAAUGUCAUUAAUAGCAAACGGGUUCGUUGCUACUCAUUUGUUUUCGAUGAUAGAGCCUCCAAAUCAAUGAUCGGCAUCGUUAAACAUGAUUUAUACCACCUGAAUCAUCUAGAAAUUAAAUUUUAUAUUUUUUCGAUAUUAUUUUCUUAUCCAUCAGGUUGACAAAAAAUAAACGGCUGAAAAUAAAUAUAUUUUAAAAAGUAAUAAUAAAAAUAUUUUAAUUGAGAUCAAGAGUAUAGAUCUUUGUUUUAAACAGCUUAAAGAAUUUUUUAACCAAAAUUCAAUUGAUUUGAAUAUCUUUACGCCGUUAAAUGAGAAAAUGUCUUAUAUUGACGAGUAAACUUACAAUUUUUGAUAUUAUUUGAUAAUUAGGUCAAUAAUGUCGAAAAAAUUUAAACUUUAGUUUUUAUAUGUUUCAAAUAGUAUAGAUUAUAUUCAACGGUGCCGAUCGUCAAUUUGGAAGCUCCAUCAUAAAAAAAUAAAUAGAUGACAAUAAAAUCCGUUUGCUACUGAUAACAUUUCAGCUCAACUUUCUGAUUCAAAAUCGUGGUAUAACAUGUAUCUCCCUUUGUUCCGGCCAUGGAAUAGAUGAAAUAAAUCAAAAAAUGGAUUCUUGUUCACAAUAAAAAAUAAACCCUAUCCCAUAGGUAUAGGGUUUGAUUCAAUAGAGAGCCUUUUCUUCUGUUAUAUAGUUGGUUCUCAUCCUUCAGAGAUUACGAGUGUAAUAGGAGCAUCUGUUGACAAAAGGAUCAUCCUAAGAUGAUCAUCUCAUGACUAUUGAGAACGAAUCAAAUCAGGUAGUUUUUUUUCUGUCCGAAAAAUUUAUCGAAAUAAUGAGUCGCCCCUUCCAUUGAUAUGAACAAAAUUGAGAUCAACAAAUGGUCGGGAGUAUUUUUAUAUAUAUAAAAUUUAGAAUUAUAAGUUAGUAAAAGAUGUGAACUUAAAAUAGAGUUAACGGCGGAGUUUUCAAAUUAGCCUGUGGUUGGAGAUAAAUUAAUUAGUGCAGUUAAGUAUGAAUGUGUGUCGGACACGUGGCAGCUUAAGAAGAGGAAUUUUGGACCCGCACGCCGAGGACCGGUGGGGCCCACCCCAGUGCGGGUAUACGUGGCCGUCCGAACGGUUUCGGUUGCUUGGGCAAGUUAAAAAAAAAAAAAAAAUCAAAUCCACUCGUGGUUCCACACUUUCUUACUUCAGUACUCUAUAAUUUAAAAUAUAUCAAAUUAGUAUUCUAUAAUUUUAUUUUUAUAUUUUCGUCAAUUUUUUUAUUAAUAUUUUGUUAAAUUAUAUACAAAAUUCUUCAGAUAUUCUAUUUAGGUUUACCGAAUAUUUACUUUAAUACCUUUUUUUAUUUUGAGAGAGAAAGGUAUCACGCUAUCUUCUUCAUUCAUUAAGAAAAUGAAAUUAGUUAUAUAAAGUAAGACAGCUAGGGCCUCAAGGAAGGGGGCUCGAUAAAAAUAAAAAUAAAAAUAAAAAUAAAGAUGAAAUUAAAAAUAAAAAUAAGAAAUAGCUUUCACCCUACUCUACAAGACUCGGCCCACUCUUUUGCAAACACUCUAAUAAUUCAGACGUCGCCCUGCUCUACAGGACUCGGCCCACUCUUUUGCCAACACUCCAAUAAGAUUAGCUGUUCGGGAAACGCCGCUGGGUAGAUUUCUGAAGAUGAUGUUAUUUUUAUCGCGCCAGACCAACCACCAAGUGGCCACAACCAAGGUCAGAGCCUUCGAAGCGUCGCACUGCGGGUGUCUCUCUAGUAGCCCCUCCCAGACGAUGUUGGUAUCUUCAAAACACGGGUAUCCGAGAUACUUUAAUAUCUUUUAGUUUUAACUUUGUCACUGAUGUAACGAAAAAAAUUAGUGGAAUCGAAUAAAAGAUAAAAAUAAAUCACAGAGCACUAAAUUGAUAUAUUUUAAACUAUAGGGUAAUAAAAUGAGAAAGUGUGAAACCACAAAAGUGGUAUUUGAAGUUUUUCCGAAAAAAAAGAUUGAGUGGGAAUUAUUGUACCAUUAUUAAGUGAAGUUAUCCGAUCAUUGCGAUGGGCUAAUACUAUAAGAGAAAAAAAAUUAAUAAAUUAAAAUCUUAAAAUUUUAAUUUAUUAUAAAAUAUUAAUAAAUAUAAAUUGUAGGAGAAAAAAAUAUAAAAAAAUUUUAUUUUAUUUGUUUUUUUAUAAAAAUGAUUUGUUUAGGCUAUAAUAAACUAUAUGAAGACAUUAAUUAAAAGAUGGGUAGGUGAGAAAAUAAAGUAUCGAACGGAGAUAAGGAUGGAAAGAUAAAUUAUCAAAAAGUGAGGAGAGGAGAAAAGAUAAGGAUGAAAAAAGAACUGUUAAAUGAUAAAUUUUAUAAAAAAUAAUAUAUAGAUAUGUGUAAAUAAUUCGUUUCUAAGUGUUAAUUUUUUUAAUUAUUUUUAAAAAUAAAGUUUUAAAAUUUUAGUAUUUAAAAAUAUUUAAUAAAAUUAUUAAAUGGAAAUAAAAUUAAUACUCAAUGGGCCCCGGAGCAAGACGUAAAUGAGCAGUCGUCAACGACGGCGUGGCAUCACCCGUUCACCACCACCAACCGCCUUAUCCGAGUCCGAUCGGACGGCGCACGAUGUUCGGACGCGGAUCGCCAACCCGCAAUGAUUAGCUCACGCCGUAAAAAAUAAUUAUUGUAGUAAUAUGUAUAUUUAUUUAUUAUAGCUAAAAAUGAAAAGGAGGUAAAAUUGUAGGUAAAAUGCUUUUUGGGUUCCUCCCACUUGUGGAUAAUGCUGUUAAUAUUAAUAAUAAAUAACUCUUUUUUUUUUGAUAUCGCUAAAAAAGAGGAAGAAAAAUUGGACCUGUACACUUUAUUCUGCAGUAUUAAUUAUUCUUCCAAAAAUUUAAAUUUAUUUAAAAAUAUCUUGCACCGAAAAAAAUUUAAGAAGAAACAUUCUGAUAUAGAAUUUGUAUUUUAUUGGCUCACCACCUAUUUUAGACGAUUAUUUGUUUAAAAGGAAUUAAUUUUCGAUUUCCAUUUCACUCUGGAAUGGAAAUGAGCAAAUUCAUUUAUGGCCAAAUCCAGUUUUGAAUUUCGGAUUUGCCCAUUUCAAUGUAAACUGCUCAAAAUUUUUUCUUACAUUUCACCUCCGCCUCCUCUCCUUUUACCACUCUCUUUUUUCUUAAUCAAAACUCUCUUUAAAAAAUAUUGGAUUCUUAUUCCGAUUUUCAUUCUAAUAAUGAAUCAGAUAUUUUUGAUGAUUCGUCAUUCUAUUUAUUAUUUCAAAGCAUUUAAAUUUUAUUUAUCAUUUCUAUUCUAAUCAUGAAUCAAACAUGCUCAUACGUAGGCAUAAAAUGAACCAAACAUGUUCUAUACGUACGUCUAAAACUAGUAUUACUCAAACUUGAGCAAUGUUAUUUGUAUUUACACCCCACCAAUUUAAAGGUCGAUAAUUUUUUACUAAUUUUAUUAAUUAUUUUUUUUUUUACUUCAAUACUAAUAGUUUUAUAAAUCUUCGACAAUUUUAAAAUUAUUUUAAACACAAAAAUAAUGCAUUUAGCCAUCGUAUUAUCAAUAUAAUUUUGAAAAAUGCUAUCUACAUCCUUAUUUAUAGGUAUAAAUCUUACAAUUCUUGUAUCUCAGGCUUCAUAAAAAUUCAAAUUGGUUUUAAUAAUAAUAAUAAUAAUAAUAAUAAUAAUAAUAAGAUAAGUAGGGAGUGAGAGUCCCAAUUUUUUACUCCUACUUAAUUCGAGAUUAAGAUGUAGUAAUACACCUGAAAGUGCACAAAAAGCAUUUACGUAAAGAUAUGUUCACAUUAGACUAAAAAAAAAUCUCUCAGUAACAUACAUGAGUCCUUCAAAAUUUGUUAUUUGCAUAGUGGUUUCUUAAAUCACAAUAAUAAUUUGUGCUCGCUAGUUCUUUCAUAAAGUUUUUGUAAUUUAACUGGAUUACAUAUUUUUUUAGCACUAAUUACCACUAUAAUUUUAUAGUAGAAAAAUAGAAUAAAAGGUGCUUUUGUAAACUAAGGCUUAAUAAGUUAGUAGAAAAAAAAAUCAGUAGAAAAUAUCAAGCAAUUUAGUCCCUUUUUAAUGUUGGCUUCUUUUAAUUAGUAAUACAAUUAUUAUCUCCAAAUGUAUAAGAAUCAAUUAGAAAGUUUUAAAAGGUAUAAAUAUACUAAUUAACAAUUGGCAUUAUAAAGUAUAAACUAACAUUGUUAAGGUGUAUAUCCAAAAUAUUCUUCUUAAAUACUACUAAAAAUAAUGAUCUGACCAAAUUGCGAUAUACAGGUGUGUCAGGGACUGAUGAUAUUUUUUACCCAAUGAUUAAGAUAGACAUCGUAAAAUCCUCGAGGGUGGACCUUUCAACGGGGUUUGGGUUGGGGGGCGGGGGCUGAUCACUGCUUAUUAAAUCCUCUCUCCCUCGCCUCCUUUCCCCGUCUCUCUUCAUUCUCUCCCUCUUUCUGCUUUGGACUUUGGAGUCGACAAGCCAUGGCGGAAUCGAUGGAGCUCCCGAGUCGACUCGCGAUCCUCCCCUUCAGGAACAAGGUCCUCCUCCCCGGCGCCAUCGUCCGGAUCCGGUGCACCUCCCCGAGCAGGUGUGGAUUCCUCGAUCCCUUUCGAUCGAAUUCGACCCCUCCCCUUUAAUCCUCGGCUCGCAGAACCUAGGGUUCUGGACGAAUUUCGCUUUGAUUGAGCUUCGAUUCUUGAGAUUGGGCUUGUUUUUGGCAAAGAAUUGGUCUUUUUUUUUCUUUUUGUGGGUUUCUUCGAGGGUGAUGGUGAGGUUUUGCGGGUUUUUCUGGGCUUUAAUUUGGCUUUCUUAGGUAGUUUUGAUCAAGUGGGAUGAUUUGGGAUGCUUUGGUGUGCUGUGCUUGUUGAUUUUUUGUUUUUGUUUUGAGCUUUGUCUAUACGCAAAUUUUCGAAAUUAAAAUAGAAUUUGGGUGCAGUGUGAAGUUGGUGGAGCAAGAACUAUGGCAAAGAGAAGAGAAGGGUUUGAUUGGGGUGCUCCCGGUGAGGGACUCGGAAGCUGCUGCAGUGGGUUCCUUGUUGGCUCCAGGUAAUUGGAGAGCUAGGGUUUACGGUGAUUUGGGUAGAGAAUACGUGAUUUCGAAGGGAAAAUUGAGGGAAUUGGUGCUUUUCUUGUAGGUAUGGGAAGUGAUUCUGGGGAAAGAGGUCUUAAAGUGCCGUCCGAGGUUGUGGGGGACUCACAGAAGCAGGAUACGAAGAACCAGCAGGAACUCAUCCAAUGGCACAACAGGUGCAUUUUCUCAAUUCGUGUUCUUGUUUCAAUUCCUGUGGUUAUUGCAUCAAAUUUUUGUGUGAAACUGAAAGAAGAAGCUAUUUGAAGAAACGGCUCCAUUGAAGUGGUAGUUAGAGAGAGUGGAAUUCAGAGAGGUUUUUCAUUUCACGUCUUUUACCUAGAUAUAUUAUAAACUGGUCGGAAUGGAAAGAAAUUUCAAGACAUAUAUCGAGCAUGAUUUCACUAGAUAACUCUUGUGUGGAGUAAUCUUUCCAUAACAUCACUUCGGGAGACUAUAUCUAGCUCAAGUAUCUUACUUUCAGGGGAGUUGCUGCUAGAGCUUUGCACCUCUCAAGAGGAGUGGAAAAACCAAGUGGAAGGGUCACAUAUAUAGUUGUUCUCGAGGGCUUGUGUAGGUUUAACGUUCAAGAACUCAGUGCUAGAGGGACAUAUCACGUCGCCCGCAUUUCACGUCUUGACAUGACAAAAGCUGGUAAGAUUUUGUUUGCUUUAUUAUCUGCUAGUUUUUUUUUGGUUUCUCCAAUCUCUACUUGUACUGCGUUCUUAUGAUUUUUUUUUUUUUCUCAACAGAGAUAACUCUUCCUUAUGUUUUGAUUCUUUUAAAUUGUAUUCAUUGGUCGUGGGUGUAUCUUAGUUGAUUGCUGCCCACCGGCCAACUGGGGUCACAUAUAGGUCGACUACACCUGACUAUGAAAGGCAGAAAAAGUCUCUGUUGAAACUAGUUGACUAACUGAUUGACCAGACUAUUGGACUGUUCGUCCAACGUUGCAGUGUAUGGCGGCCUAGGUGAAGGGUUGUUUGGAUCUACAACACCCUGACCAAGCCAAUGAAGUAUAGCACUCGACUCAGCUUGCUAAAAAUUAUGCCUUAGCCUCUAAUAUUGAAUCAAGCCGACAAUCUUUGCAAUGUAGUCAUUUUUAUUUUUCUUCUUUUGCUUGUUUUGUCCUAGCAUUGGCAAGGUGGUUAUGUAAAUUUUAAUGUUGUUAUUUUUUUUGGAUAAAAAAAAUACUUGCACAAAAAUGAGAAGGAUACUAUUUGUUGAAUCUUGAUCUUUUUUGGCUGUUAGAGGCUUAUAAUUUAAUAAACUUUAUUCAACAAAUAUGAUGUGUCAAUGGAGCCAUCUGAUGUCGCCAUGUAUGUUGGAAGUUGUGUAUGCUUUACUGAGGAAAGUCCAAAAUUUUAUUCUUCUGAUUUACUUUUAUACAACUAAGUCCUUUGCUAUUCGUAUAGCUUUGCAGCUGAAAACCUUAAUGAGAAAAUCAUAUAGAAACUUUUGGUCUAUCAUCAAUCUGCAAAUGAUGUCAUGAUAUCCUCUUAACUACAUGCUUUGUACUUCUCAUUUAAUCAAGCUGAGUACUCAAAUUACCUCAAUGCUGUUGUAAUUUGUCAGAGUUGGAGCAAGCAGAGCAAGAUCCAGAUCUUAUUUUGCUAUCUCGCCAAUUCAAAGCUACUGCCAUGGAGCUAAUUUCUGUCCUUGAGCAGGUAAAAUAUUGAUAGAAUUUCAGUGAGUCCCAUUCGACAUUGCUGUUGUUUAUUCCAGACAUUGUGAUGCUAAAUAGUCGGUCCUGCAAUAAAACAAUUAGGAAGAAGACGCGGCAGGAAAGAAUGUAUUAUUGUUGGAAAUAUUGUGUACUGUUUAGUUACCUAGCUGAAGUAUUGGGUUUUCUAAUGUUUGAGAAGAUCUCGAAAUUUCAAGCAUUGCUUAUAUCUGUACUUUCUUUUUUAUGGUCUCCAUAUGUAUUAUGAGUCAUGCUCCUGCUUUUGCUUCUGUUUCUUAUGUUGACACAUCGCUUUUUUAUGUGUAAUUAAUUAAUCAGUUAUAUAUAUUCCAUUGCCUAUCCAAGUAAGUUUGAUAGUCUGUAGAAGUAUUUGACAUAAAAUGAGUUGCUUCAUGUUUCUAAUUGCAGAAGCAAAAAACUGUUGGUAGGACAAAGGUUCUCCUUGAGACAGUUCCUGUGCACAGGCUAGCUGAUAUAUUUGUUGCUAGCUUUGAAAUAAGCUUUGAGGAACAGCUAUCCAUGUUAGAUUCAGUUGACCUGAAAGUUAGGCUUUCAAAGGCAACGGAACUCGUAGACAGGCACUUACAGGUAAAAAUGUUCUCAAAUGGCCUUAUUUAGUAGUUAUCGUUUAUUUCCAACCUGUCCUGAUCUUACUGUGAUGUUAUGUACUUGUUGCACUCUUUCGGUGUUGAGCAGUCAAUUCGUGUAGCUGAGAAAAUAACUCAAAAGGUCGAGGGGCAGUUAUCAAAAUCACAGAAAGAAUUUCUUCUGCGUCAGCAGGUUCGUCCUCCCACUUGUGUCAUUCUUGCAUUAUGUACUGAGCCUAGGAACAUUGCAACAGUGAAUAGGAAAGAUCUGUCUCAUUGUACAUGAUAUGAUAAGAUUUUUUUUUUUUUUUCAUGCCUUUUCAAUUCUGUUAAUCAUGCAUAGGAAUAUAUGCAGCAAUGCCUUUUCUUGCCUCUUGACAGAUAGUUUAUUAAAUUUGACUACUAGAUCCUCUUAUUUCAAACUGCUAACACACAUUUCCAAGAUUAUGCAAAGUUUGACUAAAUUAAGCGAGAAAAGACUUGAGUUUGAUUCUACUUGCUCACGUUUACUCUGCAGAUGAGGGCUAUUAAGGAGGAACUUGGUGACAAUGAUGAUGAUGAGGAUGAUGUAGCUGCUUUGGAAAGAAAGAUGCAGAGUGCAGGGAUGCCUCCUAAUAUUUGGAAACAUGCUCAAAGGGAAUUGAGGUAACUUUCAUUCUGUAAUUUACAAAACCACUUGUCAUGACAAGAACAAAAUAUAUUCUUGGACUAUGUAUUAAUCAGUUUCUAUCAACAGACGAUUAAAAAAAAUGCAGCCUCAGCAGCCUGGGUAUAGUAGUUCCCGUGUGUACCUGGAACUUCUGGCCGAUCUCCCUUGGCAGAAGGUGAGUGAAGAACCUGAACUCGACCUAAGGGCUGCCAAGGAGAGCCUUGACCGUGAUCAUUAUGGAUUAACCAAAGUCAAGCAACGGAUUAUCGAAUAUUUGGCUGUUCGCAAGGUUGUCUUUUAACUCAUCUGUGGCAUCUCUGCACGUCCUUUAAAGUUACUACAUUUACUAUUUUGACUGAAAUAGGCCAAUCAAAUUGCAGCUUAAACCUGAUGCCAGAGGCCCAGUUCUUUGUUUUGUUGGCCCGCCAGGUGUUGGGAAGACAUCGUUGGCUUCGUCAAUAGCAGCUGCUUUAAAUAGAAAGUUCAUAAGGAUUUCUCUUGGUGGUGUGAAGGACGAGGCUGAUAUUAGGGGCCAUCGAAGGACCUAUAUUGGAAGCAUGCCAGGACGGCUUAUUGAUGGGUUGAAGGUCUCUUAUUGCAUGAUAUCUUUUUUGUUCUGGUGUUUUUCUAGCUUCCAUAUAACUCAUAGUUUAUAUUAUAGCAUGCCAGGACGGCUUAUUGAUGGGUUGAAGGUCUCUUAUUGCAUGAUAUCUUUUUUGUUCUGGUGUUUUUCUAGCUUCCCUAUAACUCAUAGUUUAUAUUAUAUUGCUUGCUUGAGAGUACUUUUUUGCUAUCUAUUGUUACUUGACCUUUCAAUAGAAAGCUAUCUUUAGAUCUCUUAUGAGAUGUCUCAAAUUGUUUGGUUCUUUUUCCAACUAAUGUUAUGCUAUAUUUUGCCUCCAAUUGCUUGACCAAAUAUUUGCUCUCUAGUAGGUUACAAACCUAAAAUUACCGAUACAUGAGAAUAUCCUAUCCACGGAAUAUGCAUCUAAAGCUUUUAAAUAUAAGCCUUUUGGUGCUUGGAAAGUCCCACCACAUUUUAGUUUUUGGGCUCAAUUUGCAGUAAUGCAGGUUGCUUUAUUGGACACUAUUUUUCUUAUUGAAAGAUGAAUUGGAAAAUUUAAUUUUUUCCAGAGCAAGAAUAUCGGGCCUCUUAAAGUCAUUGGAUUAAGAAACUGGUGGUAGUAUAAUGGUUAAGCACAUGGCUUAGCCUUUCAAUUGGAUAGUGACUAAAUCAAUGUUUGGACCCUCAUAAGAACUCUUUUCUGCCUUUGCUGCCUCUUUUGCUGCUUCUGAAACUGUCAAAUCACCUUGAAAGAGUUCUUGGCAUAGAGUUAGCAUCAUCUACUAGGAUUACUGUCAUGACGAUUUAAAUUCUACCAAAAAGACAUGUCUCAAGUAUAAAUGGGUGCUGAAAUUUUUAAACUUGGAUCCACUAUUCACGUCUUUUGUACUUGUAAAUGCAGAGGGUGGGUGUUGGCAAUCCUGUCAUGCUUCUUGAUGAAGUUGAUAAGACAGGUUCUGAUGUUCGUGGGGAUCCAGCAUCAGCACUAUUGGAAGUUCUUGACCCAGAGCAGAAUAAUACAUUCAAUGACCAGUAUCCUUUUCUUUUACUGAUAAAACGUUCUCAUUUAAGUGCUGGCUACUUUAAAUUUGUUCUUUCAGUUAUUGAUUAUUGAGCUUACAAUUACCUCCUGUUAUUUUGGCAACAUUUAUUCAUGUUUUUCCAUAUACUUAAGACUGUUUGUUUGUUGAGACAGUCAGCCUGGAGUACUUCAGUAUUGUGGGCUUAUGUCCCGAACCCUGUGGCCUCAUUUGAGCAAGCCUCCAUGUCUACCCCCUCUUCAAACAGGGUGAAUCCCUGUUUAAUCAAAAAAAUAUUGUGGAUUUAAAUAUUUGAAUAGAAAGUCACUGUGUACUUGCAUCUGCCUUUUGUAUAUUGAUAUUUUCCUCAAGUCUUUAGAAUCGACAUAUCAAUUCUUUCAGCUUCUGUUAUAAAGCAAACCUUACAUUAUGUAAAUGCAAUCAGAAAUAAGAUACCAUUAGUAUUAAAUUCUUUAAUCUUUUUGAGUACAAAUAAUUAAGUGGUAAGAAUAGAAGCAGUUUAAAAAAUGAUAAAUUGAUAGGGAGAUAAGUCAUUCACUAUCAGAUUUCAGAGGGAAUACUGAGGGUUGAGUGUAUAGAUGAUGAUGUGACAGGUAAGGGAGCUCUUCACUUGCUGCGAGAGGGGAAUAGGUAUUAGGGAGUAGAUUGGUUGUGAUAUAACACGGACCACAUUCUUAUGCCUUUGGAGGGUGGAGGAUCAAGAUAUGAGAUUUAAUUAUUGUUGUUUCGGGAGUAUUAGUAGGAGUGUUGUUGAGCAAGAGGGUGAUGAGAUUAGCUGAAGCAGUGCAAAUCAAAUAGGGUAUGUGUCGAAGGAGAGCAAUUUCCAUACACAUUUCCACCUUCAUGAGUUUAGCCGUCAGUUGGCUAUCUGCUAUAAUCCUAUAAUUUUGAAAAGAGAAACCUAAUUUUCAUGUUAUAGGAGCCUUUAUCCAGAGAUUUCUUUCGGAAAAUGUAAUUAGUGUGAAAGAUUAUGGUGCGAAGUACGUUAAAUCAAAGUUCUUUCCGGACAAGGUUAAAAAAUCUUUACAUUUAGUAACCUGUAAUAUGUAGUCUUUUGUCAUCAUGACAGUUUUAAUCAUAUAACUAGCUGAACUCUUGAUUCGCCAUGUUCCUUAACUUGUGAUACAGCUAUUUGAAUGUUCCAUUUGACUUGUCGAAGGUGAUAUUUGUUGCAAUGGCAAACAGGGUGCAACCUAUUCCACCACCCCUUUUGGAUCGGAUGGAAGUCAUUGAGCUUCCUGGUUAUACACCUGAAGAGAAGCUAAAAAUGGCAAUGAAACAUCUUAUACCAAGAGUCCUAGAUCAACAUGGUUUGAGCUCUGAAUUUCUUCAGAUUCCUGAGGUAUGUUCCGAUACACCUUUGCAGAUUUUCUCCUCUUGAGUUGCAGCUGAUAUUUGCUUUCGAUUUCUCUAAUCUUUUUCUAUGCUGUCAUCCUGUCUAUCAGUGAAAUUGCUCCUAAAAUUUCUAGGCUAGUUUGAUAAAACAUCUAAUAGCAAUAUGUUAGUUAAAAGUACACAGGUCUCUAAUGACGAGUGGUGAUUAUUCCCUUCCUUUUCAUUCUAUGAUAAGGAUUUUCCAAAGGUGAGAAUUGUCUUGUGGCUCAAUUGGAACAUCAAAAGAUCAAAAACUGUGAAGUCUGGAAGUUACAAAUCAUCAUUAUGACAAAGUUUCAAUAUCUUCCCUGAAUGAGGACUUGAAACUUUAAACUGGACUGCCUUGUUUUCUUGGUUGGUUGUUUAUAUGGCUUAUAAAGGGCAAAGAAGUGCGUGAUCCUUGGUAUUUGGGUAAGCAGACAUCACAUAUUCGCCCUUGCGUUUGUCACAUUUGUCUAAUACCAUAGAAAACUGAGGAAUGUUGUCGAGUCUUGUUGAGCCACUUAAAACUUGGAUCAGGAUAAUGAUACUACUUUCAUUGUUUGUUGUUAGGUUGUCAGCUGUCUAUAUAUGAACUUGUAUUUCUCUCUAGAGCCUUGGUGAAUUUGAGUUGUCUUCUUUCUGGCCCUAAAUAGGGAAAGGGCCAUAAUGCUUAUCUAUUGACACUUUAAGUAAUUUAUUCUUUCCAUCCAAACAAUAAUAUUCUCACUAUCAUCGUUUACAAUUAGCAUGACCACAAUUUGUUCUAACUGUAUCUUUAUAUAGGCCAUGGUAAAACUCAUUAUCCAAAGAUACACUCGAGAAGCUGGUGUGCGUAACCUUGAGAGGAACUUGGCUGCUCUGGCCCGUUCAGCUGCUGUCAAGUUUGCAGAGCAAGAGAGUGCAGUUCAAGUUGGCAAAGACGUACAACCAAUGACAACGUCCCUUCUUGACACCAGGCUUGCAGAUGGUGCUGAAGUUGAGAUGGAAGUUAUUCCUAUGGGCGUCAACAGCCAGGAGAUAUCAAAUUCUUUUGAAAGUGCCUCACCUAUUAUCGUAGAUGAAGCUAUGCUGGAAAAAGUGCUUGGGGUAUUCGCUUGUAUUUCACUUUUCAAGCUCAAAACACUUUCCUCUCGGCUGUUUAAUUUGCAUUUUGUUAAUCAAAUAUUUCAAUGUUAAUUGUUUAUUUGCGAUAUUGCAGCCUCCUAGGUUUGACGACAGAGAAACUGCAGAACGAGUGGCAACUCCUGGAGUAUCAGUUGGACUAGUCUGGACUUCCUUUGGUGGGGAGGUUCAGUUUGUCGAAGCCACAGCAAUGGUGGGAAAGGGUGACUUGCAUUUGACUGGACAGCUUGGUGAUGUUAUCAAAGAAUCUGCACAAAUAGCUCUCACAUGGGUAUGUCUCUUUGCACACUUAUUUGGUUUAUCUUGCAGGUAAAUGAUCAAGUUCUCAUUAUGUUCCAACCUGUCUCCUCUAGUCCCUACUAAAUUGGUUUUGCUUGUUUGGGCUUUCCCAUUUAGUUGGUUGGAGGUCAAUCUUAGCUGUCCCUCUAUGCACAACUCUGUUAGAAGGGGUUAGUUCCUUUUGGAGAAAAUAAUAGGCUGCUUAGUUUGUUCGUUUAGGCAUGUUACACUUAGUUGUAUAAUCUUUCAACUUUAGAUGGAAUGUAUAUUCAGAAUAUAGUUGCAAGCAUAUCCAAAAAUUUAAAUGUGCAGUAGUGAGAUAAUUGGAUAUCUGUUGUUGUUCAUAACUUUAUUUUAUUAUUAUUAUUAUUAUUAUUAUUAUUAUUUGUUUCCUCAGGUAAGAGCAAAAGCAGCAGAGCUGAAUUUGUCAGCUUCUUCGGGGAUUAAUUUAUUGGAGAGUCGUGACGUUCAUAUUCAUUUUCCUGCUGGUGCCGUGCCAAAGGAUGGACCAUCGGCAGGAGUUACUUUGGUGACAUCGCUUGUUUCACUAUUCAGUCAGAGGAAAGUUAGAGCAGACACUGCAAUGACCGGAGAAAUGACUCUGAGGGGCCUUGUAUUACUAGUUGGUGGCAUCAAGGAUAAGGUAGGUUUUUUUGCAUGGUAUACUAUGUUGUGGAAAUAAUGCGAGAGAUACUCCAUUAGGAAUACGUUCCUUGUAAAUUAUGUAUCUUUUAAUUUAUUUAUACUUUAAUUUGCUCCUUCAGGUAUUGGCAGCUCAUCGUUAUGGCAUCAAGAGAGUAAUCUUGCCGGAACGGAAUUUGAAGGACCUAACUGAAGUCCCAUCGGCCAUUCUAUCUGGCAUGGAGGUAUUUUUUCUGCUUUUUUGCUUGGAACUUUUUUAAUGUAGAUUCUCUUGUAAUUAUUUUAAUAACGUUUGAAGAAUUUGAUAAUAGAUGACAGCACUUACUGUACUCACCGACUGAUCAUCAUCUUGUCAAAAUGCUCACUAAUUUGACGAACCAGUUCUGGAUCUGAGCACUGAGAAAAUUUGAAUAUUGAUGAUCUAAUGAAACUAUUAUCUCUCAUAACAGUCAUAACUAAGAAUCAUAUCUUCUGUUUGAAUAUACAGUCGUUGAAUUAUCGAAGUGCUUUUUCUGUUUGAGUUAAUAGAUACUGGCUCCUCGAGUUAAAAAUAUUUUUUCUUGGAGUAAUUUGUUUGAUAAAAGCAUCAAAUUCCUGAAAUAGAUGGUUUAGGUAUGUGGUGAAAGAUUGUAUGCUAACUGGCUAGUUUGGAGAUAUCUUCCAACCUAGCUAAAAUCUUCAAAUAUCUGUUAAAAUCUGCAUUUAUUGUAAUUUAUUGGUACAUCAAAAUCAAGUGAAGCCCUUACAGCAAACGGCUAGAAUAUUUAAUGAUGAUUGAUCCCUAGUCCUGUGGUUUUUCUUUUCUGGUUAGAUUUCUUGUUAGAUCUUCUGUACUUGUAAUAUUACGUCUUACACUUUGAGAUUGUACGAUUUCUUAUCCACUUUGAGAUGAUAGUUUCUCUUAUGGUGUCCAAAAACACAUUAAACUACUGCCGAUGCGCUAAAGAAAUUAGUUAAAAUUUAAUGAGAACCAUUGAACCAAAAAAAUAUCAUGUUUAAUCUCCUGCUUGAAUGAUCUUUCCAUAUAUUCCUGCUUAGUUUCUGACUACCAGUUAUCUUAACUCUUCUGUGGUUCCUAUUUUUAACAGAUUUUGCUUGUGAAGCGUAUUGAGGAAGUACUGGAACACGCAUUUGAAGGUGGAUGCCCCUGGAGGAAACAUGCUAAGUUAUAGCAUUCUCCAGUGUUCUCCAAUCGUGGAGUAAAUAUCGAUGGAAUUGCCGUUUUCGACCAGAUUUAGGGCAACCUGAUUGACAAUAGCAGAUGCGAUCGUAUCAGCACGCAUCCAAUAUGCGGAACCGAGCCAUUGGAUAAGAUAUCUACUGGAAAUAUAAAAUACGGGCUCAGUAUUAGCCAGUGUAAUGUCUUCGAAAGAUUGACCUGAAUGAGUUAUAUAAUCCCCGCUUUAGAGCAUUAGCCGUUUCUAGCCGAUCCUAUAAUUAUAUUUGGGAUCAAAGGCUUAGUUAUCGUUGUUAUUGCUGCCGCUGCGGCCACAGAGCAUGUGGCUAUCGUUGUGCUACGAACUCCCGAUUUGGCUCAGCAAUUUGUGUAAGGCUAGUCUCUCUGAUUCUGUAUUAUGUAUAAUUUCAAACUGGAAGCGAAAGUCUCUCCUAUUUAACAUAAAUUGUCUCAAAAACAUUGAUGUGUAUGCCACUGAGGGAUAGGAGCGUUAGUCUCAAACAAAUGAGGCUAACUUUGCCUUGCUCUGUUUCAAUCUUCUCCCUUGGUGGUGGUUGUGUGUAUUCAUAUUUCUUAUUCUUUUCCUUUUUAUGUUCGGAUUCUCUCUCGCUUUCCUUCCUAAAAAAUUUGGCUUCUCUCUUACGAGUUUGGAAUCAAGUUUGUAGUUUAGCGGUGGUUUCCACUGCCACUUUGUAGAAUCAAAGGGGGGGAAUUUAAAUGGUUGUUUGAAUUUUCUUGGAUCCUUCAAAGCAUCCAGGGUCGCGAAACGGGUCGAAAGGGAGAUUUUUGUUAGUCACUAGAGAUGUCAACGGGUCGGAUUCGGGUGAAUUUUUAAAAACCCGAAUCCGAACCCAACUCCAAACCCGAGACCCGAAUCCGAACCCGACGGAUUUUAAAAAUCCAUAUCCAAACCCGAACCCGACCAAAAAUCCGAAACCCGAAGCCGAAUUCGAAAAUUUGAAUCCGAAACAAUUAUUUUUUUUUUCAAUAUUUCAAAAUAAAUUAUAUUAAAUCUAAAUUUUUAAAAUACAAAUUUAAAUAUAACAUCAAAUUUUUAUAUAUAUAUUAUAUAUAAUACAAAAUAAAUUUGGGUUCGGGUCGGGUUUGGGUCGGGUACAAUCAAAAUUCAUAUCCGAAUCCAUAUCCGUCAGGUUUCUAUUUUAAAUAUCCAUAUUCGAAUCCAUAUCCAUCGAAUAUAUCCGUUUCAUUCGGGUUCGGGCUCGGAUAAAAUUUCGGGUAUCCAUACCCAUUGACAUCCCUAGUCACGCUUAGCAGCAAAACCGAGGUAAGCUCAGUGAGCUAAAGUAAGUUCGAUUUUAACUCAAAAUUGUAGAUAUAAAAUGGUUUAGUUCAUAAGAAUUAUAGAUACCGAAAAUUAAUGAUUUAUAUUAUAUAUAAUUUGUAAAUUUUUCAGAUAUCAUGAAACAUGUUUAAUCAAUUAAAUUUUAAUUAUUAUUAGAUCUCUAUGCUAGAAUUUUCACAAUGGACAGAACUUUGAAUAGUCGAGACCAGGAGUGCACUAGGUUCAUGCAACAAUUUCGGAGUUGGAAUCUUAUAAUCCACUAUUGUAAGGUUUUGGCUGUUUAGCCAACCAAAAUGAUAAAAUUAAUGUGAAAAAAAUAGUCCCGAUAAAAUUAGAGGAUUGCAAAUCAAAACGAAUUGCCAUAGGAUGGCAAACAAUAUAAAGAAUACCUCUACAAAAUUAUGAAAUUUGGUUUCUAAAUAAUUCCAAUAGCAUAAAUCAUGUCUAACGGAGUCGAUCGCAGGAUCGGAUGCUCUAUUAUCGAAAACAACUUACAAGCACGGAUGCUUCCGUAUUUUCGAAAGCAUAAGAGCCUAGCUCUCUCUCUCUCUCUCUCUCUCUCUCUAUAUAUAUAUAUAGGGAAAAUUUCAUAGGUACUCCUAUAGGAGACUGAAAUUUCAUUAAUAACCUUCUAAAAUUGAAAAAAUCACGAAUGACCUUCUCAAUUCAAAAAUACUCAUGAAUGCCCUUACAGGUAAAGUGUCGUUAAAAUCUAACCGAACAGAUUAUAAAUGACAUUUCUAUUCCUGUACGGUUCAUUAAGUAUAGGAAGCCGUAAUGGUAUAUUAGCACUAUUCACAAAUGCCCUCUUAUUCUCUCCACAUAGCAAUGAGCCCACUAAGUUGUCGAUAUUUUACAACACCUCAUAACACAACUCCUAAUUGUGAUUGUCGUAAACCAUGCCGAAUUUAGAUGUCAAAACAACCACACAAUAAAGGUCGAUGAUUUUAUUGAUGUCCAAAUUGGAGGGUAAGUUGAUGUGAUACAUUAGUGUGCAUAUAAAGGCUAAGUUACAUAAAACCUUCAUGUCAAAAUUCGAUUUUUCACUUUCCUCCUCUGUCAUUUGAAAACCUACACUUUGCCCUCUUGUAAAAUGAAAAUUGUUCACUUCGCCUCUUGCCGUUAGUAAUCUGUUAGAGUUCCGUUUAUAAAAUAUUAUUAUAUAUUUUUUUAUGCCAAAAAUGCCAUCAACCUUCUCUCCUGUGAACAUGAUGAGAGGCAAAAUAGUGAAGGGCAAAAUGGUUAUUUUAUCAUCACAGUUCACACCGUACUCCUGUGAACAUUUUUUAUUUUAUAAGAAGGCAAAAUGUAGGUUUUUAAAUGAUAAGAGGGAAAGUGAAAAAUUAGAUUUUGAUAGGGGAGUUUUCUGUAAUUUAGCCUUAAUUAAAUUUCAAAUAUAUAAUGCUGUAUAUUUUCUAUAGAUUUAGGAAUAAAGAUAAUGCAACUUUGGGUAUUUACUUUUCAAUGCAGCACAGUUAACCUUGAGUACCAAAUACAUAUGCUGAAAAUAAUAUAGGCCGAAGAAUUAUGAAAUUGGAGGAGAAAAUCCUCCUGUGUACUUUAUAUACUAGUUUUUAAAUUUUUUUAUCUUAGCAUUAAUUAGUUAUUUCCCGCCAAAUAUAUCAUUCUAACUUUUGGGGAAAAACUUAUCAUUCUAUAUUUUAACUUUCAUUUAACUACAUUUUAAUUCAGGUAGAGCGACGUAUCCUUAACAGCAAGGAUAGUUAUGAUAAUUUUAUAUGUUUGAAGAGGUGUUUAUUAUAUUUGAAAGUUUAGAGGAGUAUUCAUGAAAUUUACAAGUUUGAUAAGCUUACUAAUGAAAUUGCCCUUUUCUUUAUAUCAAUAAUUAAUUAUAUCAAUAAUUGCAUAUAAUUUAGGGUAAACUUCAAAUACUAAUCCUGUGGUUUCGUACUUUUUUACUUUAAUAUCAUGUAGUUUAAAAAGUUUCACUUUAGUACCCUAUGAUUUUAUUUUUCUCUUUCCACCAGCAUCUCCCUUAACUCUCCAUUAAAUUAUAUACAGAAAAAUUUCAGAUACCCCGCCCUAUGAUUUAUUGAAUAUUCACUUUAGUAUCCUGUGGUUUACCGAAUUUUUACUUUAGUACUCUAUGGUUUUAAUUUUAUCACUGAUAUAAUAGAAAAUUAAUGGAGAGGAUAACAGAAAGAGAAAUUUAUUAAAUUUAUUAAAAUUAAUAAUGAAAUAAUAUAAAAGCUCAAAUAAAAAAAUAGAGGUUAAAGGGNAUUCAUUUUCCUGCUGGUGCCGUGCCAAAGGAUGGACCAUCGGCAGGAGUUACUUUGGUGACAUCGCUUGUUUCACUAUUCAGUCAAAGGAAAGUUAGAGCAGACACUGCAAUGACCGGAGAAAUGACUCUGAGGGGCCUUGUAUUACCAGUUGGUGGCAUCAAGGAUAAGGUAGGUUUUUUUGACCGGUAUACUAUGUUGUGGAAAUAAUGCGAGAGAUACUUCAUUAGGAAUACGUCCCUUGUAAUUAUGUAUCUUUUAAUUUAUACUUUUAAUUUGCUCCUAAAGGUAUUGGCAGCUCAUCGUUAUGGCAUCAAGAGAGUAAUCUUGCCGGAACGGAAUUUGAAGGACCUAACUGAAGUCCCAUCGGCCAUUCUAUCUGGCAUGGAGGUAUUUUUUUCUGCUUUUUUGCUCGGAACUUUUUUAAUGUAGAUUCUUUUGUAAUUAUUUUAAUAACGUUUGAAGAAUUUGAUAAUAGAUGACAACACUUACUAUACUCACUGACUGAUCAUCAUCUUGUCAAAAUGCUCACUAGUUUGACGAAACAGUUCUGGAUCUGAGCACUGAGAAAAUUUGAAUAUUGAUGAUCUAAUGAAACUAUUAUCUCUCGUAACAGUCAUAACUAAUAAUCAUAUCUUCUGUUUGAAUAUGUAGUGGUUGAAUUAUCGAAGUGAUUUUUCUGUUUGAGUUAAAAAUAAUUUUUCUUGGAGUAAUUUGUUUGAUAAAAGCAUCAAAUUCCUGAAAUAGUUGGUUUAGGUAUGUAGUGAAAGAUUGUAUGCUAACUGGCUAGUUUGGAGAUUUCUUCCAACCUAGCUAAAAUCUUCAAAUAUCUGUUAAAAUCUGCAUUUAUUGUAAUUUAUUGGUAUAUCAAAAUCAAGUGAAGCCCUUACAGCAAACGACUAGAAUAUUUAAUGAUGAUUGAUCCCUAGUCCUGUGGUUUUUCUUUUCCAGUUAGAUUUCUUGUUAGAUUGUAAUUGUAGGAUUUCUUAUCCACUUUGAGAUGAUAGUUUCUCUUAUGGUGUCCAAAAACACAUUAAACUACUGCCGAUGCACUAAAGAAAUUAGUUAAAAUUUAAUGAGAACCAUUGAACCCAAAAAAUAUCAUGUUUAAUCUCCUGCUUGAAUGAUCUUUCCAUAUAUUCCUGCUUAGUUUUUGACUACCAGUUAUCUUAACUCUUAUGUGGUUCCUAUUUUUAACAGAUUUUGCUUGUGAAGCGUAUUGAGGAAGUACUGGAACACGCAUUUGAAGGUGGAUGCCCCUGGAGGAAACAUGCUAAGUUAUAGCAUUCUCCAGUGUUCUCCAUUCGUGGAGUAAAUAUUGAUGGAACUGCCGUUUUCGACCAGAUUUAGGGCAUCCUGAUUGACAAUGGCAGAUGCGAUCGUAUCAGCACGCAUCCAACAUGCGGAACCGAGCCAUUGGAUAAGAUAUCUACAGAAAAUAUAAAAUAUGGGCUCAGUAUUAGCCAGUGUAAUGUCCUCGAAAGAUUGACCUGAAUGAGUUAUAUAAUCCCCGCUUUAGAGCAUUAGCCGUUUCUAGCCGAUCCUAUAAUUAUAUUUGGGAUCAAAGGUUUAGUUAUCGUUGUUAUUGCUGCCGCUGCUGCCACAGAGCAUGUAGCUAUCGUUGUGCUACGAACUCCCGAUUUGGCUCAGCAGCUUGUGUAAGGCUAGUCUCUCUGAUUCUGUAUUAUGUAUAAUUUCAAACUGGAAGCGAAAGUCUUAAAUUGUCUCAAAAACAUUGAUGCGUAUGCCAUUGUGGGAUAGGAGCGGUAGUCUCAAACAAAUGAGGCUAACUUUCCCUUGCUCUGUUUCAAUCUUCUCCCUUGUGGUGGUUGUGUGUAUUCAUAUUUCUUAUUCUUUUCCUUUUUAUGUUCGGAUUCUCUCUCGCUUUCCUUCCUAAAAAAAUUUGGCUUCUCUCUUACGAGUUUGGAAUCAAGUUUGUAGUUUAGCGGUGGUUUCCACUGCCACUUUGUAGAAUCAAAGUGGGGGAAUUUAAAUGCUUGUUUGAAUUUUUCCUUCAAAGCAUCCAGGAUCGCGAAACGGGUCGCAAGAGAGAAAUUUGUUAGUCACGCUUAGCAGCAAAAACGAGGUAAGCUCAUUGAGCUAAAGUAAGUUCGAUUUUAACUCAAAAUUGUAGAUAUAAAAUGGUUUAGUUCAAAAGAAUUAUAGAUACCGAAAAUUAAUAAUUUAUUUAUAUUAUAUAUAAUUUGUAAAUUUUUCAGAUAUCAUGAAACAUGUUUAAUCAAUUAAAUUUUAAUUAUUAUUAGAUCUCUAUGCUAGAAUUUUCAGAUUGUGGUCCACAGUGCACUAGGUUCAUGCAACAAUUUCGUAGUUGGAAUCUUAUAAUUCACCAUUGUAAGGUUUAGGCCGUUUAGCCAACCAAAAUGAUAAAAUUAAUGUGAAAAAAAAUGGUCCCGAUAAAAUUAGAGGAUUGCAAAUCAAAAUGAAUUGCCAUAGGAUGGCAAACAAUAUAAAGAAUACCUCUACAAAAUUAUGAAAUUUGGUUUCUAAAUAAUUCCAAUAGCAUAGAUCAUGUGUAACGGAGUCGAUCGUAGGAUCGGAUGCUCUAUUAUCGAAAACAACUUACAAGCACGGAUGCUUCCGUAUUUUCGAAAGCAUAAGAGCCCAGCUCUCUCUCUCUAUAUAUAUAUAUAGGAAAAAUUUCAUAGAUAUUCCUAUAGGAGACUGAAAUUUCAUUAAUAAUCCUCUAAAAUUGAAAAUAUCACGAAUGACCUUCUCAAUUCAAAAAAUACUCAUGAAUGCCCUUACAGGUAAAGUGUUGUUAAAAUCUAACCGAGCAGAUUAUAAAUGGCAUUUCUAUCCCUGUACGGUUCAUUAAGUAUAGGAAGCUGUAAUUGGUAUAUUAGCACUAUUCACAAAUGCCCUCUUAUUCUCUCCACAUAGCAACGAGCCCACUAAGUUGUCGAUAUUUUACAACACCUCAUAACACAACUCCUAAUUGUGAUUGUCGUAAACCAUGCCGAAUUUAGAUGUCAAAACAACCACAUAAUAAAGAUCGAUGAUUUUAUUGAUGCCCAAAUUGGAAGGUAAGUUGAUGUGAUACAUUAGUGUGCAUAUAAAGACUAAAUUACAUAAAACCUCCAUGUCAAAAUCUGAUUUUUCACUUUCCUCCCCUGUCAUUUAAAAACCUACACUUUGCCCUCUUGUAAAAUGAAAAUUGUUCACUUCGGCCCCUGCCGUUAGUAAUCUGUUAGGGUUCCGUUUAUAAAAUAUUAUUAUAUAUUUUUUUAUGCCAAAAAUGCCAUCAGCCUUCUCUUCUGUGAAUGUGAUGAGGGGCAUAAUAGUGAAGGGCAAAAUGGUCAUUUUAUCAUCACAAUUCACACCGUACCCCCUGUGAACAUUUUUCAUUUUAUAAGGAGGCAAAAUGUAGGUUUUUAAAUGACAAGAGGGAAAGUGAAAAAUUAAGUUUUGACAGGGGGUUUUCUGUAAUUUAGCCUUAAUUAAAUUUCAAAUAUAUAAUGCUGUAUAUUUUCUAUAGAUUUAGGAAUAAAGAUAAUGCAACUAAUUUGUUUGGGUAAUUACCUUUCAACAUAGCACAGUUAACCUUAAGUACCAAAUACAUAUGCUGAAAAUAAUAUAGGCUGGAGAAUUAUGAAAUUGGAGGAGGAAAUCCUCCUGUGUACUUUAUAUACUAGUUUUUAAAAUUUUUUAUCUUAGCAUUAAUUAGUUAUUUCCCGCCAAAUAUAUCAUUCUAACUUUUGGGGGAAAACUUAUCAUUCUAUAUUUUAACUUUCAUUUAACUACAUUUUAACCUGGGUAGAGUGACGUAUCCUUAACAGUAAGGAUAGUUAUGAUAAUUUUAUAUGUUUGAAGAGGUGUUUAUUAUAUUUGAAAGUUUAGAGGAGUAUUCACGAAAUUUACAAAUUUGAUAAGCUUACUAAUGAAAUUGCCCUUUUCUUUAUAUCAAUAAUUGCAUAUAAUUUGGGGUAAACUUCAAAUACUAAUCCAGUGGUUUCGCACUUUUUUACUUUAAUAUCAUAUAGUUUAAAAAGUAUCACUUUAGUAUCCUAUGAUUUUAUUUUUCUCUUUUCGCCAGCACCUCCCAUAACUCUCCGUUAAAUUAUAUACAAAAAAAUUUCAGAUACCCCACCUAUGAUUUAUUGAAUAUUCACUUUAGUAUCCUGUGGUUUACCGAAUUUUUACUUUAGUACUCUAUGGUUUUAAUUUUAUCACUGAUAUAAUAGAAAAAUUAAUGGAGAGGAUAACGGAAAGAGAAAUUUAUUAAAUUUAUUAAAAUUAAUAAUGAAAUAAUAUAAAAGCUCAAAUGAAAAAAUAUAGGUUAAAGGGGGUGUCAACAAAAAAAAAAAAAAGUUGAUGGGCCUAUAUCAAAAUCGUUUAUAGUUGAGGGGGUCUCCAUACAUUUUACCUAUUGAAAUUAAAUUAUUUUAGUUAUUUCAACUGAAAAGUUGUGUUAAAUUUAAUAAUUUUUUUUUAUACUAUAUCUCUUAAUUUUAAAAAACUAAAAUGUAAGGGGUCUUAAUAAAAAACUGCAUAGUUAAAGAAAUUACUUCAAAAUAGAAUAUAGUCGAGGAAUCUCCGGUACAUUUCUCAAAUAGUAAUAUAGUACCAAGCAAUUAGGGGUAAAUUCGUCAUUUUAUUACUUAACCCCUUAUUAAUUAAGGUAAAUUGACGGUAUUUUAAUAGUAAGAAUAUUUAUGAUAAUUUUUUAUAAUUUAAUUAGGGGUAUGCAUGAUAUUUUAACUUUUGUAGGGGUAUCUACAAAAUUUAAAAAUUUUAGAGGGUCCGGAUGAAAUUGCCCCAUAUAUCUAUAUAUAUAUCACCCCACCCCCACUUCUCUUUUUCCGCUACCUCUCUUCCUCGUCCUCGUCCUCUUCCCCUGCCCCACCUCUCUCUCUCUCGCGCGCGCGCUCUCUCUCUCUUCCUUCAUUUUCCGAUCGGUCAUUGAUGAGGCUUCGUGAGCACAAGUGGUACUCCAAUCCUCGUCCUGAUCGUACGUUCACGUAAGCAAAUCUCCCUCUUUCCCUCUAUCUCUCUCUCUAUCUCAACCUUAAAAAUAUAUAAAUUUCGGGACUAAAAUUGGCAUGUAAGAGAAAACUAAAUAGACGAUGGUAUGAUAAUAUUGUUAAUUCUAAAACCUUCUUUUAGCAGUGUCAUUUUAUCGCGAUUAAAUCCAGAGAUUUAAAAUUUUAAUUUCAAAAAAAAGAUUAUAGACCAAAAUAAAAAUAGUGAAAAAGUCGGGGAGUAGUGUGCAAUUAUUUUUUAAAAUAUGGUAUGUGGCCCCACCCUUUUUUCAAAACGGUCAGGGUUCAUAUAUUGAAAACUAGUGAAGGACCCGGACGUUGCCGCGGGACGAUUCUGUAAAAAUAAAUAAAAUAAAAUAAAAAGAGUUAAGGAAUUAUGUAUUAAAAAAUUUGAGAGAUAAACUACUAUUACUGUAAUAAAAAAAUAAAAAAAUAAAAAGGAUUAAAAAAAUAGGGUAAAAAUCAUACAAAUAAUAAAUUAUAUUUAUAGCAACAAUAAAGGUUGAUGACUAAAAUGAUAUAUCUCAUAUUUCAAGUCAGAAAUUAUAACUAAUUAAAGUUUGAUGAUGAAAGUAUCACAUGCCUCAUAGUUUAAAUCAUAAUGUAAAGUCCGAUGAUUAAAGUCUCACUCGAGUUAUAGUUUUAAGAAUGAAAAAUAUAAAUCUAAUCUUUCAAAAUUUACUUAUAUAUAUGAGAUUUGAGUCAAUCAAUAAUACUUUAACUCUCUCUUUCUCUUCCCUCCAGUAAUGUGGGGUUCGAAAUUCAAACCAAUUCUCUUCUUUCUCAUAGAAAAUUAAAAUUUAUAUUUAAUACAUACAAUCUAAAUAUUUCAAAAUACACAUAUAUUUUAAAUUUUAAUAAUAAUUGAAAAAAUUAUAUUAAUUUUUUAAAAAAAUUUGCUUUUCAAAAUUAAUAGAAGAGAAUUAAAAAUAAAAAUUAAAAAUAUAAAAAGGGGUGGGCCCACGCUGGGCCACCCCCUCUGCCUUCCGCUUUCACGCUGCCCGGCCCCCCGCUGCAGCCGCUGCCACGCCACGGCGCUCGGCGUCGCCCGCCGCGCACUCCGGCGUCGCCUCAGUUGUCCAAUUAAGGAUUCGUGUUAUAUAUAUAUAUAGUAAUAUAGAGAGAGAGAGAUGAGAGAGGAGAGAGAGAGUGUGAGUGAUGCCUACUAUGCUAUCGAGCACAGAUUUCGUGCUUCAGCUGGUUUUCGAUGUUGGGACUUUCGACUCGGUCGAUCAGCGGUAUAUAUAAUUAUAUAUUAUUAUAUAUUACUUAUAUUAGAGAGAAGGAGAGAGGAGAGAGGAGAGGGGAGAGAGAGUGAGUGAUGUACUAUAGCUAUGGAGAUGGUACUUCCUGCUUCGUCGUUUUCGAUUGUUGAUGAUUUAGAUCGUCGAUCGCUCCGUUUAAACUUGAUUCAUAGAGUAUUUGAAGUACCUAGAAAAAUAAAUUUUUUCGAUUUUUCGAUAUCAUUUGCCUAGAAUGAAGGGGCUCAAAAUCAAGGCAUCUAAUAGAAAUAUUACAAUAAUGUAUAAUCAUGACAUUUAAAUUUUAAAGAUCGAAAAUUGAUCUUGUUUAUAUAGUAUAAGAUUUUCUAUUCAAGUUUCGUGAUUGGUAUUUGCACGUUAAUUUGCAACGGCUCACACGGCAUUGAAAUUUGUUGAUUUGGACCCAUUCGUCACUAGGCAAAUGAUAUCGAAAUAAUAAAAUUUUUUUUAGGUCUGCCAAUACUUCCGAUCAAGUAACGGAGCACCGAGCGACGAUUCGAAUGUAAAUCGAAAACGAGGUGAAGCCGAAGGCUCGUGCUUCGAUAGCAUUGUAGCCUAAACUAUUUAUAUAUGUAUAAUAUAUAAAUUAUCCUAUAUAUUUAUAUAUCUCUUAUAGUUAUAUAUUAUUGGAGCUCUAUUUAUUUUAAGUAUCAAGGCAUUGUACUUGUAGUUUGGGAUCUUGGGAUUAAAGUCAUGUGCGGUUAGGAUGAUGUGGCCUUAGGAUUAGUGGGGUGUGUUGGGUUGAAAGUAUAUUUAAGGGUGAAAUGAUCAAAGGCAGAAAUCCUAACAGUAAUUUACAGCACAAGUGUUGGGUAUAUUUUCAAGCCAUGCGGAUAUAUUGUAAUAUAUUAUAUAUAUAUAUAUAUAUAUAUGUAAGAUUAAAUGUGUAUAAUGGUAUCACAGAAUUAUUUUUAAAAUCAAUUUUUUAAUAAUAAAGAUAAAUCUCUUGAAGGUGAAAAAAUAAAAAAUACUCUUCUACUAAAUUAUAAGUUCCAAAAUCCUUUUAAAAAAGGAUAACUUAUUCAAACAUUCAAAUAAAAAGAUGUAGAUUAAUGAGUUCAAAUCAAUCAACCAGAGCUUUUCGGGUGCAUUCAUUUUAUUAGAUUUGCCGCACUUUAGGAUGCACAAGUUUAUGUUAGGGCUGUCUAUGAAUUGAACACGAGCGAUGAUUAAUAAAUAUCAAGCUAAAAAAUCUAGUUUAUGCUUGACUUGUUUAUUAAUGAGUCGAACAAGGACUGCCUUGUGAAAGGCAAGUUAGAUUAUCAAUCCUACUAUAUUUUUAAUCUAAUAAUUAAAAUUCACAAAAUAUAGGUCUUCUGAAAUUUGGAUUGGCCUAAAAUUCAAUGAGUAGAAAUUUCUAAUAUAUAUAUAUAUAUAUAUGAUUUGAGCUACAAUACUAUUAAUAGUAUUUGNUAUAUAUAUUUAUAUAUGAUUUGAGCUACAAUACUAUUAAUAGUAUUUGUCAUUUAUUGCUAUUAAAUUUUUUACUUUUGGAUCAAUUCCGUUGAUUAUUUCUAACCAUUUUAAAUAUUAUAACUCAGUGGGAACCACUCAACCCUAGGGGGACCACUCAAUCCUAGGUAAGAGACUAAUAUCAUCCUAACCCUGCAAUUUCUCAUUCAAGAGUUAAAUAUUUGAUAGCAAAAAAGACCAAAUAUUAUCAAUAGUAUUUCAGCCCAACUCUCUCUAUAUAAAUAUAUAACUCUCUCUCUCUCUCUCUCUCUCUCUCUCUCUCUCUCUCUCUCUCUAUAUAUAUAUAUAUAUAGUUGAGCUAGAAUACUAUCGAUAGCAAACGGGUUCGUUGCCACCCAUUUAUUUUCGAUGAUGGAGCUUGCAAAUUGACGAUCAGCACCGUUAAACAUGAUCUAUACCACUUGAAGUAUUUAGAAAUCAAAUUUCAUAUAUUUUUGAUAUUGUUCUCUUAUCUAUCGAGUGGACACAAAAAAUGAACGGCUGAAAAUGAUUAUUUUUUAAAAAAUGAUAAAAGGAGUCAUGUAAUCAAGAUCAAGAGUAUAGAUCUUGUUUUAAAUAGUUUAAAGAAUUUUCUAACAAAAAUUUAAUUGAUUUGAAUAUCUUUACGCCGUUAAACGAGAAAACGCCUCAUAUCGACCAUUAAAAUUACAAAAUUUGAAACUCUUUGAUCAUUAGGCAAAUGAUGUUAAAAAGAUUUUAAAUUUGAUUUCUAAACACUUCAAAUGGUAUAGAUCAUGUUCAACGGUGCCGAUUGUCGAUUUGGAGGCUCUAUUAUCGAAAACAAAUGGAUGGCAACGGAAUGGAAUACUUGCUAAUUUAAAGGUGUAAAAGAAUCGAAAUCGAUUAAAUUUAAUAUAAAAAAUUCUAUUCACUAUCUAGAUAAUGAUAAAUAAUUUUGAUUUUAAAUUAAAGUAUCUGAUCAUUCAUUUUUAGGAUAUCGUUCGAUUUUGACUUUUCAUUUUAUACUCACUUAAUGGACUUUAUUAUAAUUUUGAAAAAUGAUUAAAUUUAUUUUCUAGAAGUUUGAAAUACUCUACAUCAUAUUUAACAGUAUGGAUCAUCGAUUCGGAAGCUCAAUCAUUGAAAAUAAUUUAUGACUACGACGGGUUCUAUACUCACAAGACUGUAGAAGUCAGAUGUGUGUGUGUGUGUGUGUGUGUGUGUGUGUAGACAAGGUUUUAAGUGCCCGUCGGCAUAGGCCAUAUCCAUCGUGUCGUACUGUGUCAACAAGAUAUCGGCACGAUACAGAUCCUGUGCUGAUGGCACAGCUCAAAAUCCUCUAUUCUUUAAAUUAGUAAGUAGUUUUCUCAAUAAAGUUCAAAAGAUGUGAUAAAAAGAUAUAGUAAACAGUUAGAAUAUUUUGUUGCUAAAGAAAAUAAAUAUUUCAUGCUAUUAUGUGUCGGCAUACAAGAAUUUAUUUAACUGGCACGGCUCGGCACGCACCGUGCCGUACCGUGCCGACAAGUUUUCGGCGUGAUCCCGUGCCACGGCACUUAAAUCCUUGUGUGUAGAGCUACUAUGCUAUCGGAAGCAUAAAGUAGUUGGUACUUCCAAUUUUUAGCCCUUAGAUCAAAAUUCUACGGUUGGGAUGAUAGCGGUCCCCAUUGGUUAAUAAUAUUAAUCUUAUUGUUAGAAAUGAUCAAUGGGAUUAAUCUAGGGCUAAAAAAUUGGAAGCACCAACUACUUUAUGCUUCUGAUAGCAUAGUAGCUACACACGACUACUAUAUAUAUUAUGAUAAGUACGAUCGCCUUCAUCUUCGUAAGUCAUUUUCAAUGAUAGAGCUUCCAAAUCGAUGAUCCAUACUGUUAAACAUUAUCUUGAGCAUUUAAAGUUUCUAGAAAUCAAAUUUUAUAAUUUUUUAGCAUCAUUUAUAUUACGAUCAAAAGAUCUCAAAAUUAAUAAUUUUUAAUGGCCGAUAUGGAAUACUUGCUAGUUUAACAGUGUAAAAAAAUCGGAAUCAGUUGAACUUUUGAUAAAAAAUUCUAUUCACUAUCUAGAUAAAAAUUAAUAACUCUAAUCUUAAAUUGAAGGAUAUGAUCAUCCAUUUUUAGGACGUCGUUCAAUUUUGACCAUUUAUUUUAUGCCCGCUUGAUAAAUUUUAUUAUGAUUUUUACGAAAUUUAUUUUUUAAAAGUUUCAAAUACUCUAAAUUAUAUUUAUCGGAGUGAAUUGUCGAUUCGGAAGAUCCAUUAUCAAAAAUAACUUAUGAGUCCGAACUCUCCCCCCCCCCGCCCUCCGUCUAUAUGUUCUCAGCGCUCGUUCUCCUCGGCGUCUCGUCGCCCGCUCCUUGUUUCGCCGGUCUCUCGUCGUCUAUUAUAAGUAUAUAUAUAUAGUAUAAUAGUAGUAAUAUGAGACUUCAGCUCAUGUGCGUUGUUAAAAGUACUGAAACACUUUGGUACUUGUAUUUUUAUCUUUAGAUUAUCCCUUGAUCAUUCAACCGUUUGAUUAUACUAUUAACUCACCGCCACUCAAGUUCUACUAUCGGACCACGCAACAGUAUCCUAACCAUAUCAUCCUCCUAAUCCACAUGUCAAAAUCUACAAGCACCAACACUUGGUAGCUUUUAAAAAUCAUAGGAGCUCAAUUCGAUAUAUACAAUAUUAAAAUAGUAUACCUAAUAUAUAUAUAUAUAUAUAUAUAAAGCUGGGGCUAUACUAUAAUUUUAUGAGCUAUAGAUCCGUUGUAAAUCAUAAAUGUUUUAACGCGUUGCAUUGAUGGAUGUGUGGGUUUAAGGAUGGAUGGUGUCCCACCCUUUAAAAUGAUAGUAGUCCUACGGGUUGAGUGGGUUUUGGUCAAAUAGUAUGAUCUAACGGAUGAAAAAAUGAUUAAUGGAUGAUAAAUGUAAGGCCCGGAAAAUUUAUGAGUUAAGGAGUAUAUCAAUACCGAACGAACACCGUGGACAGGUUCCCGCUUUCGGCCUUUCGUACAGCCAAUGGGCUCAUACUACACGACAUCGCUCAGCCCCGGCCCUCAGCACGGACUUCGCCGCGACUCCGCUUCCGCUGAGCACAUCUCAGCAGCCCCCCUCUCUACCGGAUCUUCUUCCUCAUAUCGUCUUCUCCCGUCUCCUCACCCAUUACCUCGUGUCCUUCGUCACCUCUGCUCUCUUCCUCCCAGGUCUACUCUCGUGCUUCUCCGUCCUCCUCAUCCGCUCACUUCUCCCUCUCCCUUCUCCCCUUGUGGACCUGGCCCGGCGCGCGCGGGACCGGCUGCGGGCACUGCUCUACUGCUCCUUUCUCCUACGCCUCCGCGAACCUCCUGCGUCGGCGCACUCCGCUCUCUCCCCACCGUCGUCCUUUCUCCUCUCGGCCGCCCUUUUUCCUCUGUCUCUCUCUCUCGUCUCUCGCCCACCGCGCCCUCCUCUCUUCGUCCUCGUCUCUUCUCCUGCCCUCAGCUCCGUCUUCGGCUUCUCCUCUCCCCGCGCAGGCUCCCGCCUCCGUGGCCCCCUUCGACUCUCGCAUCCUCCCUCGCUCAGCCUCUCUUUCGUUCCGCCGGUCUCCCUUCCGAUCGCUCGUCCCCUCCGCCUCUCCUCUCCCUCGUCGUCCUCGUCUUCCCUCCGCUCCUCCUCUCUUCCUCGCUAUAUAUAAUAAUAAUAUAUAUAUAAUAUAGGUUAAUAAUAUUAUAUAUAUAUAUUAAUAGAUAGAGCUAGGCUGGUAUACUAUCCGGAUAGCUACGGAGGCCCUCCGUGCUACAAGUUUGUUUUCAAUGAUGGCUGGCUUUCAAAUCAGACAAUCGGCUUCGUUAACUUGAUCUACACUAUUAAAAGUUUUGGAAACUAAAAUUUCAUAAAUAUUUUCAGACAUCAUAUUGCUAGUGAUCAAAAGGCUUCCAAAAUUUUAACAAUUUUCAAUGUAGAUAUGAUGCAUUUUUAAUGAUUCAACGGAUGUAAGGAAGUAUCAAAUUAGAUGAAAAUUUAAUAGAAAUUCUACAAUUUAAAUCAAUACACGAAACCAAUACUUUUGAUUUGAAUUUUGAAUUCUUUAUCACUAUUUUUAUGAGAUUUUCAUUUUCAGCCGUUUAUUUUUAAACUACUCGUUUGAUAGGUAUAUAGCCGGAAAAAUUAUGAAAUUUAGUUUCCAAAUACUUUUAAUAGUGUAGAUCAAGUCUAACGGAGCCGAUCGUCGUUUAGAGCCGCAUCAUUGAAAAAAACUUGGUAGCACGGAGGCCUCCCGUGCUACCGAUAGUAUACCAGCCUAGCUCUAUAUAUAUAUAUAUUAUAUAUAUAUUAUAUAUAUAAUAUAUUAUAUAUAUAUAUAUAUAUUAUAAUAGUCAACUGUGAUACUAUCGAUAGUACUAAAGAUUUGGUUUAUCAAGUUUUUCACCGUUAGAUUUAACCCUCUGAUAUUUUUACUAGUUAGAAUUAUACUAUUCAACCAACACACUCGCUCAAUCCUAGAGGGCCACCAUCAUCCUAACCAUCCAUUCUCAUCUAAGGGCUAAAAAAUCAAUAGCACCAAUAGCUUGGUGCUAUUGAUAGUAUUCCAGCCUAGUUCUAUAUAUAUAUAUAUAUUAUAUAUAUAUAUAUAUAUAUAUAUAUAUAGAGAGAGAGAGAGAGAGAGAGAGAGAGAGAGAGAGAGAGAGAGAAUUGAGCUCCUAUGCUUUUAAAAGUACCAAAUUAUUGGUGCUUGUAAGUUUUCUGCCCAUGGUUUAAGGAAUGUGCGGUUAGGAUGAUAUGGGCCCCGUAAGGUUGAGUGGGUGGUUGGUUGAAUAGUAUAAUCUAAUGGGUGAAAAUGAUCAAAGGUAUAGAUCUAACGGUAAAAAAUUUACAAACACCAAAUAGUUGGUGCUUUUACAAGCACCAUAGCUGGACUCUAUAUAUAUAUAUAAUAGAGCUACUAUACUCUUAUGAGUAUAGAGCCCUUCGUACUUAUAAGUUGUUUUCGAUGUUGGGGCUUUCGAAUCGACGAUCCACAUCGUUAAACAUGAUCUAUAGUACUUGAAACUUCUAGAAAAUAAAUUUCGUAAUUUUUCGAAAUCAUAAUAAAGUCCAUCAAACAGGUAUAAAAUGAACGGUCAAAAUCGAACGUCGUCCUAAAAAUGAAUGAUCGGAUCCUUCAAUUAAAGAUCGGAGUUAUUGAUCUUUAUUUAAGUAGUGAAUAAAAUUUUCUAUAAAAAAUUUAACCUAUUCCGAUUCUUUUUAACCAUUAAACUAGCAAAUAUUUCAUACUGGCCGUUAAAAAUUGUCAAUUUUGUGAGCUUUUGAUCGUAAGGUAAAUGAUAUCGAAAAAUUAUAAAAUUUAAUUUCUAAAAGUUUUAAAUGCUCUAAAUAACAUUUAACGAUAUAGAUCGUCGAUUCGGAGGCUCUAUCAUCGAAAAUAACUUGUGAGUACGAAGGCGAUCGUACUCAUAAGAGUAUAGUAGCCGGACUAUAUAUAUAUAUAUAUAUAUAUAUAUAUAUAUAUAUAUAUAUAUAGAGAGAGAGAGAGAGAGAGAGAGAGAGAGAGAGAGAGAGAGAGAGCUAGGUUGGUAUACUAUCGUUAGUACGGAAGCCUUCGUGCUAACAAGUUGUUUUCAAUAAUGCGGUUUCCAAAUCGACGAUCGGCUCCUAUAUACUUGAUCCACACUAUUAAAGAUGUUUGAAAACUAAAUUUUAUAAUUUUUGACAUCAAUUAUCUAUCAAAUGAGUAGUCUAAAAAUGAACGACUGAAAAUAAAAAUUUCAUAAAAAAGAUGAUAAAAGACUUGAAUUUAAGAGCAGAGAUGCUGUUCUUACUCUAAAUAGUGAAAAGAAUUUUCUAUAAAAAUAUCAUCAGAUUUGAAUUGGUUUACACCGUCAAAUUCACAAACGCAUCACAUUUAUCAUUAAAAUUAUCAAUUUUGAGACCUUUUGAUCAUUAGUCAGAUUAUGGAAAAGAGAUGAGAAUUAUAAAUGUGAGUAAUUCGAUGCUAAAUUGACUGAGUUGUUUAACAUUCUCUGCUUGAGCUUAUAAUUUAAACUUUUAAUUAUGUACUAGUUAUUUAAUCUAUCAAAUAUUCUUUAUACUUCAAAUAAAUAUCUUGGUAUACAUUAUGUACAUUUCACAUUUUUUGAACCAAAUUACUUCUCAUUCAUAAUAAAAGGGGGCCCUUUUUUUUUUUUAAAACAAAAUAGUCCUCUAAAACGCGGGAACUAGAAGUGGUAAAAAUGCAACGAUCACUAAAAAUAUAAAGGGAAAACUUCAAAACCCCCCCUGUGGUUUCGUGCAUUCUCACUUUGCUACCCUGUGAUUUAAAACGUAUCAAUUUGCCCCCCUGUGGUUUCGUUUUUAUCUUUUUAUUAUCAAUUUUAUUAUUAUUUUUUUUUAAAAUCAGUGACAAAGUUAAAAUUAAAGGAUACUAAAGUGACUAUUCGAUAAAUAUAGAUGGUUAUCUGAAGUUUUUUGUAUAUAAUUUAACGAAAUAUUAACGAAAAAGCUUCCGAAAAGAUAAAAAUGAAACCACAGGGGGGUAAAUUGAUACGUUUUAAACCACAGGGUAGCAAAGUGAGAAUGCACGAAACCACAGGGGGGGUUUUUGAAAUUUUCCCAAAUAUAAAAGAAAAUAUAAGCAAAAGAAAAUUAAAGCAUCAAAUAGUAAUUUUAAUUUCUAACUACAUAUAUAUAUAUAUUUGCGUGAUGAACGUGAAAAUACUAAAAAAAAAACUCAAAAAUCUAUGAUAUAUAAUUAAUUGGUAACUUUCCUUUCAAAGAGUUCAUGAAUAUACCACAAUGAAAUUUUAUUACAAGGACCAAAUUAAAAUCAUCAUUGCGCCAAAAAAAAAUAAAAAAAAUAAAAAAAUAAAAAAAUCCUUGCAUUAAAGCAUGCAUAAAAAAGGUUUUUUGAGUUAGGUUGUUGUACUCGUAGCAGGUAUUAAUGGUUCAUUGUAACAAAACUUUAAAGGAAAAAAAAUAAUUGCUUGGACUUUAAGUAUUUGUACGUCUCAUGUACUAUAAUAAAUAAUUAAAUAAUAAUUAAUUAUUUAUUUUUGAAAAUUUAAAUUUAUUUUAGAAAAAAUAUAAUUAUAAUAUAUUUAGAGUCAAAACUAUAAAAAAAAUUUAUUAUAAAGAUGAUUUUUAGGCUAAUAUGGCAUAUACUUGCGCUUCAAAAAAUGUCGUCCUACCAAGCUGUAUCAAAUUAAUUUAUUGAAUAAUAAAUUUUAUUAUUAUUUUUUAUUUUUUGCUAUUUUAAAAUAGGAAAAACUUCAAAAAUUUUUCUGUGGUUUCGUAGUUUUUUACUUUGCCCCCUGUGGUUUAAAAUGUAUCAAUUUGCCCCCAUGUGGUUUCUUUUUUUUCUUUUUCUUAUCAAUUUCAUUAUUUUUUUUUCUUAAAUCAGUGAUAAAGUUAAUUUAUCUCAAGUGAAUAUUUAAAGGGUACUAAAGUGAAUAUUUGAUAAAUCUAGAUAGCUAUCUCAAGUUUUUUAUAUAUAAUUUAAUAAAAUAUUAACGAAAAAGCUACCGAAAAGAUAAAAAAUGAAAUCACAUGGGGACAAUUUGAUAUAUUUUAAACCACAUGGGGGGGGGGAGAAAUGAGAAACUACGAAACCACAUGGGAUUUUUUUAAAGUUUUUCCAUUUUAAAAUAUCAGGAUUUUAAAAAAUUCUAUCAUUUUAAAAUAUCGGAAUACAUUUUACAGACAUUUGGUAUAAGUGUUGAUAUAUACUUUGCAACUUUUUAUUUACCAACGUUUGUACUGCGGCUUUUGAAUACAACGAUAAACUAUUUUAAAAUGCUUUUAAGUAUCUUUAAGUGCUAACAAUUAUCUGAGCAUUCAUUAGUCCUACAUUAAACACCGAUUGAUUUAUAAAAAUUAAGUGUUUAAAAUUUAUAAUUUCGAUUUAUAGAUAAAUUGCAUCUGGGGAAACAUUCAUCGAACAAUGCAUGAUGCAAAGGUACAUGCGAUAGUUUCUUUUAUUUUUUUUAUAUUUUUUAUUUUUAAAUGAGUUGUUAAGCCGUCCAUCUAAAUUCCCACCAACCCCCCUCAAUUUUUAAUAUUUCGAAACUAGUACGGUAAAGAUAUUGCUAUUUUAUACAAAGGACGAGAGUAAUAAUUAAACAAAAUGGAUUUAAUUAGUAGUCGGCGUGUAUUGUUUCAGUGAACUCGGCAACCAAUAAUAAUAAUACACGUUGCCCAUUACUCCAUGUACAUACAUGGAAAGUAAUUAUUUUAAUUAAUUAAGUGCAUUAAAUAUUUCUAAUUUCUAGAUAUUUACCAUGCAUUGUUGGGUUGUACUCGCAUUAAAAACUAGGGAGUAAUGAGUUGUUUUAUUAGUCGGUGCAAUGAUGUGAACAAUAAUAUAAUUUGUAGAUAAAAUAAUAAUUAUGAUAAUUAAAAAUUAAAUAAAAAUCUACGAUAUAAUUAUACUAAAACUAUUGAGGAAUUAUCUUAAGUGGGAAAAACUUUAAUUAACUUUUGAGCGAUUUAGCAUAUUUAUAUUUUGUUACUGGGCAAUACAAUUUAUUUACUAAUAAUAUAAUAAAGUAAAGUGAAAUUAAUAUUAUCUUAUAUUUUGUAAGUUAUAAUAUUUUAUGAUCUAUUUAUAUUUCUCAUAAAAGUAUUUUUUUAAAAAAUACAAAAUUUAUAAAAUAAAAAUAAAAUAAACCACACAAAAGCUGAUUAAUAAAGUUUCCCUAUUUUAUAUUCCAUAACUUCUAAAAAAGCGAUUUUACCUUUUCAAACUCUCUCUCUCUCAUCUCUCUGUUUCUCCACGUGGUCUCUUCUCCAUAUCCCUGUAAAUUUGAACGUUAUGCUUAUUUUUGGACGAGUAGUGUACUUGGAAUAGGACUCUGCAUUAAAUACGUACACAACACCAAAUAUGCCGUUUGGUUCGGGUAUAAAUAGGAACUAGCUAUUACAGAAAUAGGUACAAGUAUAGAGAUAAAAAAAAAUAAUGUUUGGAUGAAAAUUGGGUUGUUUUUGGGGAUAAGAACAAUUUUAGAUAGUUUUAUAUAGAAAAUGAAAGUGUUGGUGGGGAUAACCGAGAACUACUAUUCUCGGAUAAAAAAUUAGCAUUUGGAUAACCGAGAACUAUAUAUAUAUAUAUAUAUAGAGUGAGGCUACUAUGCUAUCGGAAGCACGGAGCCUUCCGUGCUUCCACCUCGUUUUCGAUGUUGCGACUUUCGAAUUGUCGAUCGGCUCCGUUAAACUUGAUCUAGAGUAUUUGAAGUACCUAGAAAAUAAAUUUUAUGAUUUUACGAUAUCAUUUGCCUAGUGAACGAAGGGGCUCAAAAUCAACGGCUGAAAAUAAAAAUAUUACAAAAUGUAAUAAUAUGACAUUAAAAUUUUAAAUCAAAGAUAUUGAUCUUAUUUUAUAUAGUAUAAAGAAUUUUCUAUCAAAAUUUCACGUGAUUUGGAUAUUUCUACACCGUUAAACUUGCAAACGGCUCACUACGGCCAUUGANUAUAUAUAUAUAUAUAUAUAUAUAUAUAGUAAGGCUACUAUGCUAUCGGAAGCACGAAGCCUUCCGUGCUUCCAGCUCGUUUUCGAUGUUGCAACUUUCGAAUCGUCGAUCGGCUCCGUUAAACUUGAUCUAGAGUAUUUGAAGUACCUAGAAAAUAAAUUAUGCAAUUUUUUGAUAUUAUUUAUUUAGUGAACGAAGGGGCUCAAAAUCAACAGUUGAAAAUAAAAAUCUUACAAAACGUGAUAAUAUGACGUUAAAAUUUUAGAUCAAAGAUGUUGAUCUUGUUUUAUAUAGCAUAAAAAAUUUUCUAUCAAAAUUUCACGUGAUUUGGAUAUUCUACACCGUUAAACUUGUAAACGGCUCACUGCGACCAUUAAAAUUAUUGAUUUUGAGCCCCUUCGAUCACUAGGCAAAUGAUAUCAAAAAAUCAAAAAAAUUAUUUUCUAGAUAUUUCAAAUACUCUAGAUCAAGUUUAACGGAGCCGAUCGACGAUUUGAAAGUCGCAACAUCGAAAAUGAACUGGAAGCACGAAAGGCUCCGUGUUUCCGAUAGCAUAGUAGUCUCACACUAUAUAUAUAUAUAGAGUAGGGCUACUGUGUUAUUAGGACCACAGUAACCCUUGUGCUCCUAAGUUCUUAACCGCUCAUCAAAUUUGAUGGGUUGUUAGGAUGAAAGGGAAAAAAGUAAUUGGAGAGAAAUUGGAUUUCUCAAUUUCUCUUCUCUUUAAAUUUCUCUUCAAUAUCUUUUCUCUCUCAUUCACCCUAACCAUCCAUCAAAUUUGAUGGGCGGUUAAGAAUUUAGGAGCACAAGAACUGCUGUGCUCCUAAUAGCACAAUAGCCUUACUCUCUCUCUCUCUCUCUCUCUCUCUCUCUCUCUCUCUCUCUAUAUAUAUAUAUAUAUAUAUAUUUUACUAUAUAUAAUAAUACAAUCCUCCUUAAUCUAUCUUCUCUUUCCUUUCCUUCUUUUAAAUUUAUAUUUAUACAUCUCCACACCCUUCACCCACCUCCCAAAACUUAAACACUAAUCUCUCUCUCUCUCUCUCUCUCUCUCUCUCUCUCUUUCUCUCUCUUCAUUAGUUCCCAGAUCCUCUUCAAUGGCCUCGUUAAUGCUGUUGCUGCUCCUGCUCCAAUCUCUUCUCCCUCUACUAAUAUUCUCCCUAUUCUCAGGUAUAUAACUCUUCGUUUCGUAUUCAUGAUUUUCUCAGUAACAUGCGUGAUUCGCCUUACGUUCAUUCACGUCAUUAGUUAUAACUUAAAACUUGUGUGAUGAUUAUUUUUGGGUUAUUUUCUAUGACUGCGCAUUGAUGGGGUGGUCCAGGGGUGUCGGCGGUGGCGACGUUCACGAUCGCGAACAAUUGCAGGUACGCAGUGUGGCCGGGGAUUCUGUCGAGCGCCGGCGCUGCGCCGCUGGCGACGACGGGGUUCGCGCUCGCGCCGGGCGAGGCGCGCGCCGUCGACGCGCCGGCCGGGUGGUCGGGGCGCAUCUGGGGCCGAACGCUCUGCGGCGGCGGCGGCGGCGGCGGGGCCUUCUCUUGCGCCACGGGCGACUGCGGCUCCGGCGCCAUCGAGUGCUCUGGCGGCGGCGCCGCGCCGCCCGCCACGCUCGCCGAGUUCACCCUCGACGGCAGCGGCAGCAACGACUUCUACGACGUCAGCCUCGUCGACGGGUAAAUGCUUAAGCUACCAAAAAACAGUAAUAUCUUUUUGGUAGUAUUGAUUUUAUAUCAUGCAAAUAUAUAAAUCAUUGUUUUACCUAAUGCACAGAUUUUAAAAUUUAAUAAACAUUAUUUUUAAGUAUUUAAUAGUUACUAUAUUUUUGUUUGUACUUUGAAAAAUGAUUGUGAAUAAUUAUAAUAUAUAUAUAAUGCAACAGAUCAUAAAGUAAUGAUUAGGUAAUCGAUUAUUAUCAUCGCUCAUCUGAAGGUUUACUUUUUAAUGUAACUUUUGUUCCUCUCCCCAAGUUCAAACAACAAAUUCAAUUAUACUUUACCUUGAAAGAGCGACAAUUUAGGCAAUUAUUUUUAUAUAUAUAAUACAUAAAUUUUAAAAUAGUAAUACAUAAUAAAUAAUUUGUCAUUGAGUUUUCGUGUCGGCAGAUGAUUUUAAUAUUUUAUAUUCAACAGGUACAACAUCCCGAUGCUGGUGGCCCCGCAGGGCGGCAGUGGGCCCAAUUGCAGGCCCACCGGGUGCCUAGCGGAUCUGAACGGGGUGUGCCCAUCGGAUCUGAAGGUGGUGGUGGGCGGCGAGGGGGUCGCGUGCCGGAGCGCCUGCGACGCGUUCGGGGCGCCGCAGUACUGCUGCAGCGGUGCGUACGGUAGCCCCAGCACCUGCGGGCCGACGUCGUACUCGCUCUUCUUCAAGAACGCGUGCCCGCGGGCUUACAGCUACGCCUACGACGACGCCACCUCGACGUUCACCUGCGCUGCCGCGACCGCCUCCUCGUACAUCAUCACAUUUUGCCCCAGCACAUCCAGGUAGCUGAUCGAUUGACUUAGCGAGCAACUUCAACUAUCUUUAGUUUUGACGUACAUGCAAUCAAAGUGGUCGGAGAUUUAAUAUCUUAAUUUGAUCCUCUCCUUUGUAUUUUUUUUUUUAAUCUGGAGUUGUUUUUUUAUAUAGAAUAAUUGAUACAAGCAAGACUUUCUCAUUACGUGGAAAAUCAUUUUUCGUUUGCUUUUGAUUUACUUUUUUAAACGUGGCCACGCAAUAAGUAAGUUGGAUGCUGGGACUUUUCAAUGGGGCUCUGCUUAUGUUGGCUUCGGGUCCCAGUUUAUCUAAAUGACAAAUUAAAAAGCGUAAUUAACGCGUUACGAGCCAACUUUAGCUGUAAUGCGUGUCUUGUCCUUUAUAAUUAUGUGUUUAAUUAUGGUUUUAAUUAACAACGAGCUAAGUUUAGAGUAAUAAUCGUGCCUCUUCGGUGUAAACCCACCUCAUCAUGUGUCAGGUCGACGCGGCAACACAUUACUUUUUAGCUGUUUGCAUUUAAUAUACAUCAAUAUGAUAGAUUCAAGAAUAAGGCUUUUUUAGUUUGUUUAUUAAAAUUAUUUAUUCUGGAUAUAAAUCAAAAUAUAUUACUUUGUUUAUGAAUGUUUUCUUAAAAAAUCAUAUUUAAUGCAAAUUAUCUUUACAAAAUAGUGAGACGGUAAAAUUAAUGCUUGUGCGCUUCAAAUGAUGCCAAAUAGUUUAUAUAUAAAAGUCGAGCCAAAUCAAACGUAGGUUUGAUUCUGAUAUAAGCUUAUUAUGGCGGCAAAAAAUAGACUUUUUAGUAUAGACACAUUCUUUAAAUCGUCAAAUCUAAAUUGAAUCAAAAAUGUAGUGCAUGCCGAGAUAAGAAAAGCUUGUGUUUUUGCUGCAGCUUGAAGUCGUCGAGCGCGAACCCGGAGGCCGCGGGGCUGCCGCUGAUCAACAACACCAUGGUCUUUGUGAGUGGUGCUGCUGUGCCGGGCCGUGCCGAUCGCCGUAGUGGGCUCCACCUCUCCCUCCUCCUCGUCGUCUCUGUACAUAUGCUGACGUGGCACUUUUUCCUAUUCUCACGCCCCUUUUAGUUAGAUCCACACGUGCUCCUCCCCACGUGCGCGCGGGUUGCUAUUCUCACGCCGCUCUCCACGCCAUUCGUAGUGCGGAACCCCUCAAUUACAAGCAAUUUUGAACUAGGCCCUUCACUUUUUUUUUUUUUUUUUUUUUUACUUUUAUUAGUUGUAUUUUCUUAGCUUCUAAUUUUUUUGACUUUAAACAAUUGUCAUUAAAUCUAGUGACUUUGUUUCAAUAUUAUUUGCAAUAAAAUUUCUAAAUUUAGUUGCACCGAAAUAAAUUAUUUAUGGAUUUAAUAGGCUAAAAUUGUUUCAUUUCGAAAAAAAAUCAAGUAAAAAAAAAAGGAGUAAUGGGCCGAUUUCAAAAUAUCCUCACUAGUUGAGGAGGUAAUAGUUUUUUAUUUUUAAACUGAGAAUAUAACUUUUAUAUUAUUUUAUAUUUAUUUUUUUUUUUUUGGAAUGAGUAAAUGAUGUGGUGUGGGGCGGCAUGGAUUUGCACGGUGUAGGCACGCCGCUAUAUCCAGGCCUUUUCCGCGCGAUUGUUAAAUGAGAUACGUCGACGUCGAGCCACGUGGACUUUGGAAGUUGUGACGUAGGAUCUCUUGAUUUGAUCGAUCAGUUGAUGUGAUUAUAAUAGUACUAAAUUGUUCGUACAAAAUAUUUUAAAAAAUAGAUAAAGUCGUCCUAAAUUUUCAAUUUUGAAAAUUAAUUAUUUUUAAACUAUAUCAAAUAAUUUAAUGUCUUUUUUUUACGGGUAAAUUUUAAAUAUCACACCUGUAAUUUUGUACAUUCUUAUUUUAGUACCUUAUGAUUUAAAGUGUAUGAAGUUAGUGUCAUGUUGUUUUAUUUUUCUCUUUUCGUCAGCUUUUUCGUUAAUAUUUUCUUAAAUUAUAUAUAAAAAAACUUCAGAUAUUCCACAUAGAUUUAUCGAAUACUCUUUAGUUUUAAUUUUGUCAGUGAUUUAACGAAAAAAAUUAGUGAAAUCGAUACUAAAAAGAUAAAAAUGAAACCGUAAGGCACUAAAUUGAUACACUUUAAACCACAUACUACUAAAGUGAGAAAGUGUGAAACUAUAAGGCACUACAACAAAAACGGUCUAUAGCGACACUUUUAAAUGUAGGUACAUGUCAAAAAAGUGCUGCUAGCUAAAAUUACCGACACUUUUAAAAAAUGUUGCUAUAUGUGGGGUCGCUAGGUAUAUAGUGACAGUUAAAGAGUGUCGCUAUAACCUAAAAGAGUGCUGCUAAUUUACGAACACUUAUUUAAGCAUUUAGCAACCGCCGAAACUUUAUCUCGUUGGCUGCGGUGGCGGAGGAGGACGACAGGAAAGACUCUUCGUCUAGAAUUUCAGUGGAUUGAGUGAAGAGAGAAGAAAAGAUGGCAAUUGAUUUUUCAUUUUUUUUUCUUUUCUGUUUGUAAUCGGGCCAAAUGGACUGGGUGUGGUGGGGUGAGUAGAGUAAUCUUUUAUUUUUGGUUGGAUUGAGCUUUAUAUUUAGGCAUUAGCAGAUAUUUUUUUAAGUUUUAGCAUAAAUGGGACACUUACUCAAAAGUGUCCCAAAUAUGUGUCCCUAUAACCUAAUUCUGUUGUAGUGAGGGUGGUGUUUGAAAUUUUUCCAGUUUUUAUUAAUUAUAUAAUUAUUUUGAUCACAUAUGGUGCGCGUAAUUUUGCAAAGCUUCAAAUUAUAAAAUUUUGUUUUUUUCCUCUUAUUUUGAUAAUUACGCAUAAAAUUUGAAGAAUAAGUUAGAUUUUUAUUAUUUUUAUUUGUAU
rnacentral:lncRNA from 1 species